rnacentral:lncRNA from 1 species
GAAUUCCCCAUGUAAGCACAUCUGGUUCUGCAUGUAGACAUAAACAUUUAUGUUCCUAUUCACUUGCCCCUGGCCACGUAUCUGCGAAAAUGGAAAUCCAUUUUGCAUAUCUUGCAAGUCAUGACUGACAGGGCCGUUUCGGUCCACGUUAUCACAUCUUCUGACAAACUGGUCAAGAGUUCUCUGCCUUGAAGGGCUAUGCUCAAUAGUAGUAUGCUUUGCAGGGCUACUCAAUGGCUGAUUAUUUGGCACAACUAAGGUGUUCUCAUGGCCAUCUAACAUCUGAUUUUUCAAUAACUAAAAUUCAGAAUGGUUUCUCAAAAACAUCAAAAAGUAACUCUCAAAUACUACUUGAGUAUAAUCUUGACAAAAUAUGAAUAUAAACCAGAAUGGAAACCUUGAAGCUAAGCAUUAUGUACAUUUUGCAUUACAUAUGAUAGUUCAAGAAGAUGUAGAAAUGUACCUGCCCCAAAUUAUCCAGUUUGAAUUGCACUACAUCCCUAUGAUGUAAAAAUUUAUAUCAUCAAUGCAUAAUAAAUGUUAAGUCAAUGCUAUACCAAACAGCGAAAGACUGCAGAAAUAACAGAACCUACCAUAUGAUGUCGUGAACCGUAUCAUUUGCCAACAAUUAGUAUAUAUUUACUGAUGAGACCUGCAAACAAGAACUAACUAGUCAAAAAAACAGAAGAGCACAUGUUGUCUUUGCUACUCAAAAAUUUUGAUGUGAGAGUUCUUUUCAUUCGAGAUUAUCUGUUUUCUUAAUGUUGUCAUGCAACUAGUAACAACUCUCUCCUUUCUACUUAAUGAGUGUGAGAAUACCAGGCCAAUUCUAUGAGCACGAUCUUUGACCUGAAUCAGGUCACCUGGAGUCCAGGAUUGUUCUGCAAAGCUUGCAGCAGUUAAAGUUAAUCCAACUCCCCCAGCUUUAAUGGAUAGCUGCAUGAUUAUGUGUCACAUGAAAUCAUUAUCUCAAGCACAAAUACUAACCCAUACAACAGAAAAGAUGCUUAUAACGGAAACACAUGGAAGAAAUGCACAACGAAAAAUACCACCAUACCACAGCCGCUUUGAUAUAAUCCUUUUCCUAAAAUCCUAACCAAUUGUUGGCUUCAUGCACCGGGUGUACCUCCAUCAAUCGGAUGCAACCCACUUUUUUCUUCUGGAAAAUUUCAACAGUUUUUAAGUGUCUAUAAUUUCCAAUAUAAAAAAAAAUGAGUAAAAUUGAAAUGGUCUUGCAAGAAGGCACUCAUGUAUCGCAUCUAUCAUUGGCUGAUGGUGCGCAAAUAUAAGAAACUUGCAACCUGCCUGCAGUGAUCACAACAUAUUACACGUGAUAACCACCACUAGCCUAUAUGAAAUAGAAAGAUGGAUGCAAGAGAAAAAAAAUUGAAGCAAUCAAACUUUCAAAUUAAGCAUACACAAUGAUUUGGGGCGACAGGAAGAUGGAUGAAAUAUAAGAAUUAACAUAUAGUCUAGUUUACAGUUCGUGUUUGUUUUGGUCACCACUCAGACCAGCCAACGUUGACACCAAUAAUAAUUGUGGCAUACGUAUUAAAAUGUUAUAUGCUGACAUUUUCACUACACUGUUCGGCCAAUUUAAUUCAUUCAACUUAUGGUCCUACAUUAAGGGGCACCGACUGCAAUAAAAGCAAUAAGAAAAGACCAAUUUAACCAACAUUGAACAUAUUUUAAACUAUUGGAUGACAAAAGACCAUGCAUCAUGGAAGGACACCAAUCAAAGGAGAUGGCCGAGUUGAUCAUAAUAAUUGAAUCAAUAAGGGAGUUCUCAUACAGAAAUCAAAUCAAAAGUCCACACGUGGGCGGCUCCACCUCAAUGGGUAGCCCUUUCCUCUCGUGUGUCCUAACAGAAUAACAGAUCUAACGUGUGGCCUACACGUGAGGCUAGCAACACCCCUGCUAGCUGGAGUCUGAGUUAGAUGCAUCUAAGUUAACGUCAUAACCGCCGUUAACUACGGUUUUCUAAUACGAGCCUCCAAACCAAUUCAAAACAUAUAGUUUCAAAUACAAUAAAUCCUUGAUCUUUCAAAUAUAUAAGAUAUCAAAUCAAAUCAAAUCAUAUUAUACUUUCUCAUCAGAAAUCUUUCCAAUCUUACUUUUUCAAUCAUAAGAAAUUUCAAAUAUAUUUCACAACCUUUAAAGUGAGUACUAACAAAUACUUCAAUGCUUUAAAAACAGAUUUUCAAUUAAAAUCAAACAUUUUAGAAUAAUACAAAACUUCUUCAAAAAUAUAUAUAGUCUCAUGUAUAGUUUUGAAAGUAUAAACUUCAUAAAAACGAAUUAUUUAAUUCUAAAAAAUCAACUAUUCUAAUCCAUUUAAAAUCAUUCAAAACAAAUAUAGUGAGUAUAAUUCAAAAAUCAUAAUUGAUAUAUAUCAAAAUAAUUAUAGAUGCACAAUCAAACAAUUAUAAAUGUAAAGCCUACUCACAGCGUGGUCCUAAGGGACCGAAUAGACCAAACCCGGAGUGCCGAAUUAAAUGGUACGAAAGAGUGCAGAAUUUGGAUUGGGUAGUAGCAACAAUUUCAAUUCUCACUGCAGUAAUGCCAACAGCCCUAGUAACAAUAACAUGGGACAACCACGGUAACGAUGGCAGCAAAUCCAACAGCCUAUGGUAGUUUAAAAUUGAGCAAAGGCAGAAAGGGGGUAUUAAGCAAGGUAGGACAAGAUGAGUCUUACCAAAGAAAACAAGGGGAUGGAGCAUCAGCAGCUCCGGUGACCCUCUCCAACGUCGACGGUGAAGGACACAACAGAAUAACGGUGGCGGUGGUUCCUCUCCUCUGGAGUGACUGAAGAAAAAGUUUGACAGAAAACUUCGGCAGUUCUUUAGAAGGCUCAUCUGGUUACAUAUAAAGCCAAAAUCCAAAGCAAAUGCUAAUAGAACAACAAAUGAUAUUUCAAAAACCAGAAGAAAUUACAUCUAAGUUUAUAACCUUUUUUUUUUUUGUUAUGGAAGAUAAAUAGAAUUAGAGACAAGUAAUAUAGCCAUAAACAAUGACACUGAAACAAAUGUUAAGGUUUUGAAGGAAAGAAGCAUACCUUGUUUUGUCCCUGGUUUCAAUGAGGAGGGUAAUGCUCUAGCUCCUGGAUUGCAAUACAAACACACUAUGAGCAGUGCUCCUUCCAAAAACUGAACCACAGAGUACAGGGAAGAAUACUAAAGAGUAAAGACUAUAGUACCAAACAUCUUUUGAUUCUUCUGCAUUGUUUUCUAACAUUAAAAUGAGGCAUACAGCCAUACACACACAUGAACAACACUUUAACAAAAUUACCCACACAGCAAAAGACAAAUUUAACCCAACAAGAGCAAAAAGGAAAGCAAAGCUAGAUAAACCCCAUGAACAAUACAUAAUGGGGACAACAUGAAAUGGAAAAAAGAGGAUAACUUUACCCUCUGAGGACGGAAUCGGAAAUGGGGUUUGGUGGGAAGGGUUGGGAAUGGUUGGCAGACGGUGGUUUUCGAAAAUGGUGUUGUUGUAGAUUGAAUUGUUGAGAAGAAGGAGGGGUAGAAGAGUCGCGAAGUUGAGCAAUUUUCUGGAAAGCAUCGCGUUCAAGAGAAUCGAGUUCUUGUGCGGUCCUCUACCUCCACUUCAAACUUCUUUGGUGACAACUCUUGAUACUUGGCAAGUUGUUCCUUCGCCUCGUCAUUCCGACGAAGCAAAUUACAAAUAAUUUUUUUGCAAAAGGUGUGAAUGGAGAUUGGAGAGCGCCUCCUUGUCCUGGCCGACUUCAAGCUUCUGCUCUAGUAGCCACUUCAGCUCACUCACAACUUCCGUCUCAGCGUUUUCGACAUUGGAUUCUUCCAAAAAUCUAAGGAGACAACUCUUAUGUGAGAAACUAUUUAACAAAUCAAAAAACUUAUAUUUAUAAAUUUAAAUAAUUUAAAACUAAAAUAACAUCGAAUUGAUUAUUCAUGUACAAUCAAUCAUACUUAUACUCCUUUAUAAAUCUUAAUUUCUAAUGUUCAUUCAUACAAAGAAAAAAGAACACAUCUAAAAAACAAAAAAAAAAAAUCAAAAGAACUAUUGUAGUGUUUUUCAUCUUUUCUGAGUUUUCUUACAUCUCUCUCAAAGAACGUCUCUCUCUCUCAAUUCUCAGACUAAAACUCUCUCUUCUCUCUCACAGUAGCCUACUAUAGUCUCUUUUAGUCUCACUCGAAUCUCGUCUCAGUCACACUCGCCGGCGUCUCCACGUGUCGCGGCCUUCCCUAGGAUCGUCAUCGCUCGUCGUCUUCUGGUUUUGGGACCUCGCCGUUGCUGAGUCGUCGUAGACCGUAGUCCAUUGGUGAGUUCCUGCAUCGUAGGUUCUCAUGUUCUGUCUUUUCCAGAUUUUUCUUCUCCUUGUAUUUUGAGAUGAUGUUGAAUUGCUAACCAAUUAAUUUACUUUGUUUCUGAUAUAAAUGUUGCUGUAAAUCAUUGUAAUAAUUCUCUUAAAAUUGUUCAUUUUAUAAUAUUUGAUUCAAAGAAGUUGUACCAACUUGAUCUUGAAGAAGAAACUGUUGAAUUAAGAAAUUAACUAAAUUAAUUAAUGAUGACAAAUAUUAUUUUAUUGGGCAAAUUAAAUAAUUAGUGUUGAUUAUUUAUGAUUAAAUGUUGUAGGCCAAAACUCAUUAUUGCAACAGCCCAAGUGGAUGAAAAAUAUAAACAAGGCUGGUGGGCUACAAUCCAAAGGAAUCCCAAAAGAAAUCAAGCAAAGAAAUAAACGGGCUACAUGAAUGAUAUCCGAUCCAAGCCCGAUAGCAAGCAAUUUUCUCUCAUGUGCUUUCACCAAAAGCAACGUAUACUUUUUUCCUCUUAGUCAAAAAUCAGAGAAGUAAGAGAAAGCUUAGUCCCUAAGUUGUUCACCAAAUAACCAAGAAAGAGAAGGUUAAGCAAAAGGUUGAAGUCUAAUCACCCACAUCAAACUGUAUCAAGAAGUCAGAAGCUAAAAGGCGAUUUCAUUUCCUUAUACAUGCAUCAUAUCUUCUUCUCUUCAUCUUCAAUGUUCUGCCUAUCCAUUCUGGGUUAAAUGGGAAAGAUGGUCUCUACUCUUCACUGCUGUGCAUCUACGGUCAUAAGUGUGUCUUGGAGACCAAGUUUUUCAAUGGCCAAGAUCUGGGUUUACCAUUGAAGAUAUCUGUUUCUGUUGCCCUGUGUUUUUCGAUCAACAAGAGAAGGUCAGAACCAAUGUUCCUAUUUUGAGGAUUAAUGGAAAAAAGUGAGAUGGUGAAUUGGUAAAGCACAAAGCUCGAGAGUUGAGGAGAGUGCAACUCAGCAACAUGCAAGGAGAUACAAAAGAAGAUUUCUCACUAUUCUGAAGCUAAGGAGAAAUAACCAGUGUUCUUGAGGUGUAUGUUUUGAGAAGAGCUCUCUGAAGAAGUUCAUCUACUUGGAUAGUACUUCCUAGUCAAAGGAGCAUUCCGCCAGAAUUAAGAACUGAAUCAGAGGCUAGCAAAUCUGGUUUAUCACAUAGCAAAGAGGCUGUUGUAGAAUCAAUCUCCUUCACGUUUUGCAGAUUGUAAUUUACUUUUCAAUGUUUAUCUUUCUGUAAUUUCUUGAGGUAAAAGGUUGAAUGAGAGAGUCGUUGAAAGAGCCUAAGAGAGAAAAAGGCAGAGAGAUACACAUGAGUGAAAAGGCUAGAGUUAUUUCAGAUUUCUUUAGGUUAAGUCUGUGUCUUGUAUCCUGUACCUGUGAGGUACCCCUUUCUUAGUUGGGUUAGCACUAAGAGGAAGAGUUAGGUAUUAGCAUAAUCAAGUCAAGUUAGGUUAGAACUUGAGUGUGAAAGGGUUGUGUCAAUCCUGUAGAAUUGGUGUAUGUAAUACUUUAACUAUAGUGGAAAUUUUACCACUGUUGUAGUGGAGACUAGACGUAGGUUGCAUUGCACAAGGCAACCGAACCAGGAUACAUGAUGGUGUCAGCUUCUCUCUUCCCUGCUCUGUUCUGUUUUUUGAUAUUCAUGAGACAAAAUGAAAUUGUCUCAUAAAUUUUUCGCUGCUGAGUUCAAACAGAUUCAGAUUGCAAGUUUGUUUUAAAAGGGUUAUUACAGUAACUUAAAACAAGGUCAUAGAUUCAACCCCAUUCUCUAAGCCUUCUACAACCUUCAAUUGGUAUCAGGAGCCUUGGUCUCAGAAUCAAGCUUCACUGCUUGGAGCAAAGGUCCAAUAGCGAACAACUUGGGCACAACCACAGUUGCCUACACUCUAACUGAAGGCCAGUCAAACAAUAGGCCUCCCUUCUUCAACGGGAAGAACUUUGCCUACUGGAAAGAGAGGAUGAGGAUCUUCAUCCAAUCUAUUGACUACAACAUAUGGAAGAUUGUUGUGAGCGGUCCCAAGAUUCCAACAAAAACAAGUGCUCAUGGAGUGGUGACUCCAAAAGAAGAAGCUGAAUGGAAUGAGGAUGACAAGAAGAAAAUGGAGCUGAACGCUAAAUCCAUCAACCUUCUUCAUUGUGCUAUCAGCUUUGAAGAGUAUCGAAAAGUGUCUAGAUGCAAGACAGCUAAAGAAAUCUGGAAAAAACUCCAGGCUACACACGAAGGCACUAAACAGGUCAAAGAAACGAGGAAUGAUAUGCUGCGAAAAGAGUACGAGAUGUUCAAUAUGAAGGAUGGAGAAAGUAUUGAUGAAGUGUUUGAGAAAUUCUCAAUUAUAAUCAACAACCUUGAUGCUAUAGGUACAAACUACUCAGAACAAAUCCUAGCGAGAAAACUCCUUAGAAGCCUCACAAAAGAAUGGAAAACCACUGCCACUUUCCUAGCCGAGAGCAAUAACCUAAGCCCUAUAACAUAUGAUGAGCUGAGAGAAAAAUUCCUUGCCUAUGAAACCACACACACAAACCCGGACUCAAAGAAAAAGAGAAUAGCCCUCAAGUCAAAAAUAAAAUCAAAAGAGAGCGAGUCUAGUGAUGGUAUUUCAGAUGAUGAGCUUAUGUUUUUUGUUAGGAGAUUUAGAAGGACGAUGAAGAACAAGGGUAAAUACAAGGGUUCAAGCUCAAAGGAACACAAGAUGGACUUGAGCAAGGUGACUUGUCAUCAUUGCAAGGAGGCUGGACAUUUCAAGUUAAACUAUCCGAAACUCAAGAAGGAGGACAAAGGAAAGAAAGAAAAGAAGAGAGUGCUCAUGGCAUCUUGGGAGGAUCUUGAGAAUGACUCCAAUGAGGAAGAAGAUUCUGAAGGUGAAGAUAAAAUCUGCUUCAUGGCUGGUAAUAAUAAUCUUGAUGAGGUAAAUUACUAUGACUUGUCUAUAGAUGAUUUACAUGCUAUAAUUGAUGAUCUUACACUAAACACCUCAAAACUGUUGGAUAAGUACAAUAAAUGCAGAUCUGAAAAAGAUGUGUUAAAAGUUGAAAAUGAUUUUUUAAGAGAAAAGGUGAAGAAAACUGAAUGUGCUUUGGAUAUUAUUGAAGAAAACAGAUUUCUAAAAUCUGAACUUGAAAAACUAAAAGGAAAGCACAUUGUGGAUCCUUCUCAAGAGCUUGUUGCUGAAAAUGAAAGACUUAAUAAAAUGAUUAAAAUGUUGAAUGGUGACUUAGCAAAAUUUGCUCAAAGUUCUAGUAACUUGGACAAAUUACUUGCAAGUCAAAGACUGUUGUUUGAAAAAUCUGGUUUAGGCUAUGUAACCAAGGAAAGUGCAGUUUUUAAUAAUUCCUCUAUGAAAUUUGUGGCUUCUUCAUCAAAUACUAAAUCCAUAUCCAACAAAUCUGGUAUUGGAUAUUUUCCCACACUUGAGGAGAAAUUUGAUGAAGUUUACACUAGUGAAACUAAAUUAAUUAAUGAUGACAAACAUUAUUUUAUUGGGCAAAUUAAAUAAUUAGUGUUGAUUAUUUAUGAUUAAAUGUUGUAAGCCAAAACUCAUUAUUGCAACAGCCCAAGUGGAUGAAAAAUAUAAACAAAGCUGGUGGGCUACAAUCCAAAGGAAGCCCCAAAGAAAUCAAGCAAAGAAACAAACGGGCUACAUGAAUGAUAUCCGAUCCAAGCCCGAUAGCAAGCAAUUUCUUCCCAUGUGAUUUCACCAAAAGCAACGUAUACCUUUUUUCCUCUUGGUCAGAAAUCAGAGAAGUAAGAGAAAGCUUAGUCCCUAAGUUAUUCACCAAAGAAGCAAGAAAGAGAAGGUUAAGCAAAAGGUUGAAGUCUAAUCACCCACAUCAAACUGUAUCAAGAAAUCAGAAGCUAAAAGGUGAUUUCAUUUCCUUAUACAUGCAUCAUAUCUUCUUCUCUUCAUCUUCAACGUUCUGCCUAUCCAUUCUGGGUUACAUGGGAAAGAUGAUCUCUGCUCUUCACUGCUGUGUAUCUACGGUCAUAAGUGUAUCUUGUGGACCAAGUUGUUUUUCAAAGGCCAAAAUCUGGGUUUACCAUUGAAGAUAUCUGUUUUUGUUGUCCUGUGGCUUUCUGUCAACAAGAGAAGGUCAGAACCAAUGUUCCUAUUUUGAGGAUUAAUGGGAAAAAGUGAGAUGGUGAGUUGGUGAAGCACAAAGCUCGAGAGUUGACCUAAGAGAGUGCAACUCAGAAACAUGCAAGGAGAUACAAAAGAAGAUUUCUCACUAUUCUGAAGCCAAGGAGAAAUAACUGGCGUUCUUGAGGUGUAUGUUCUGAGAAGAGCUCUCUGAAGAAGUUCAUCUACUUGGACAGUGUUUCCUAGUCAAUGGAGCAUUCCACCAAAAUGAAGAACUGAAUCAGAGGCUAGCAAAUCUGGUUUAUCACAUAGUAAAGAGGCUGUUGUAGAGUCAAUCUCCUUCAUGUUUUGCAGAUUGUAAUUUACUUUUCAUUGUUUACCUUUCUGUAAUUUCUUGAGGUAAAAGGCUGAAUGAGAGAGUCAUUGAAAGAGCCUAAGAGAGAAAAAGACAGAAAGAUACACAUGAGUAAAAAGCCUAGAGUUAUUUUAUAUUUCUUUAGGUUAAGUCUGUGUCUUGUAUCCUGUACAUGUGAGGUACCCAUUUCUUAGUUAGGUUAGCACUAAGAGGAAGAGUUAGGUAUUAGCAUAACUAAGUCAAGUUAGGUUAGAACUUGAGUGUGAAAGGAUUGUGUCAAUCCUGUGAAAUUGGUGUAUGUAAUACUUUAGCUAUAGUGAAAAUUCCACCAUUGUUGUGGUGGAGACUGGACGUAGGUUGCAUUGCACAAGGCAACCAAACCAGGAUACAUGAUGGUGUCAGCUUCUCUCUUCACUGAUCUGUUCUGUUUUCUGAUAUUCAUGAGACAAAAUGAAAUUGUCUCAUAAAUUUUCCGCUGCUGAGUUCAAAUAGAUUCAGAUUGCACGUUUGUUUUAAAAGGGUUAUUACAGUAACUUAAAAAAAAGUCAUAGAUUCAACCCCCCUUCUCUAAGUAUUUUACAACCUUCAGAAACAAAUUAUCUUUUGGGAAAGAGGAAGAAGAAGAAGAAGCCCUUUGCCAGUGGAACUUCAACGGCACCUACCAAAUUUUUUUAUUCUUUCACAGAAUUCAAUUGCAAUACCGUAUCUAAUACGUUUGUUUGUUGUGUUUCAGGUAUUUCUAGGAAUUAUUUGCACAAGAGGCGCACCACUGGUGGAAAGAAGAAGGUUUUCGGUUUGGAGGAAGAAGAGAAAGUAUGCUUUCACUCUGUUUUUCUUAAUUUUUUUCCGAAGUGCCUUAGUUUCUCUUAGUUUCAAAACCAAAUCCUCCCAAAUUUUAACCCUCGUCUGAAUUUCAACCCAAAUCCUCUGUCCAUAUUCAAUACCAAGAUGAUGGCACAGAAAUUUGUAGUUGAUUUGAAUAAGCCCCUUGUUGAUCGAUGAUUCUAAUAUUUACUUGGAUCACUGAUUUCACGUUAUUGCUUUUAGAUCAUAUUUACAGCUGUAGUAAUUUUUGGAGACUGAUUUUGAAUUUUUUUUUUCCGAAAUUGACGUUAUUGCUUGAGAUCUUAUGUGUGUGGAUAUGCAAAUGGCCUUCUAUUUCUCUUGUGGUCAAUGAGACUAAAAGCUAUAACAAACAAAUUAAUAAAAUUGUGUCACAGCACGUAUGUAAGAAAUCAUUGAAAAUUUCCAAGUGCAUAUGCUCUAUUUCCAUGUGCCGGAGGUGGGUGAAUGGUGUAUCUAAAUCUAUGCCAUUUAAGCAAAUUGCUUUGAUGCUACCCUAGACUGGCAUCUUCAGUUGCAUUUGGCAUUUACUUUUCUAGCCAUGUAACUUAUUCUCAGUUGCUACUGUCUGGUUGUUAAUUGAAUAGUGCAUGUUUCAUUCUCUCCCCUUGAUCAUCUUUUAUUUCUUUUGCCUUUCUUUUUGUAUGGUUGGAAUUUUGGAUUCUUUGAAAGCAGUUGUUAAGAUUUGGUUCGUGGUUGCUGAAUCGUACUAGCGUGUGAACAUUUUAGAAUUUAUGGCCAUCUGAACUAGGAUUACAUAAAAAUAAACAUAUAUAGAACUUUCUUUUAUCUAGGAUGUCACAUAAAAUAGGGUAAAGAUUUAGGAAAAAAAAAGGAGUGAAUCAUCUCUAAACAAUUUUGCAAACUUCAGCAGAAUUAAAUGACAUUCUCUCAUUUGACAUGAUGGAAAUAAGAUUGCAGGAUGAUUAGCAUUUAGCAUUACUGAGUGGGUUUGUUUUGCAAAUGUGGUUUCCCAUGCUUAUUUCUUGUUGGAUUUUCCAUCAUUGUUGGAAUUGAAGCUGCCAAGGGGUUCAAGUGGUUUCUAAACAAGCUGAAUAUGUGUUCAGGAAGUGGUAAUAACUCUGAGAACUGUAGAGUAGAUAGACCCCAACGCCCGGAAGGGCAGGGUUGAUACCUUUCAUAUUCCUCGAAGCUGAUAACAAGUUGAGCAUGUUGACAUGUUUGGCGUUGAGCUCUAUCUUCUUUUUAUCUUUAUAAUUUCAUUCGGUCUCAGUCUUAGAAAUGACUACACUAUCUGCUCCUUUUUUGGUUGGGACUUGGGGACCAUUCAAGAUUAUCUUCUAAAUGUUGUAAUAUACUAACUAAACAAAUAUCUUCAUUCUCUCCUUCCAAUAGCUGUAGUUCUUUCCAUUGAAAAACGGAGGUCUGUUGUUGAGUGUAGGUCACCACAUUGGAAUCGUUGUUGUUUGCCAUCAGGAUCUUUCCUCCAAACUACAAAGCUUGGUCUCUUUGAGACCAAGCUCUAAUACCAAUUGAUGGUUAUCAGUGGCUGAGAGAAUAGGGUGUUGAAUCUUAGCCUUAUUUUCUGCUGAAUAUUACUUUUUACUUUUUCAAGGAAAAUUAGGAGAUGUUUUUACUUUUGUCUGAUAUCGAGUUGAGAGACAUUUUCAUUUUGUCUCCUGAGUAACAGAAACAGAAGCGAAAUAGAGAAGAAGUAACACCCAGAUGUAUCCUGGUUCAACUACUUGGUGCAAUGUAGCCUAAAUCCAGUCUCCAUCACAAUUAUGAUGGAAUUUCACUAGCCUUUUUAACACAUUACAUACAUCAAUGUUUUUCCUAGGAUCUACCCAAUCCUAUCUGGGACAAAUCCAGAUUCUAACCCAAUCUGAAUUUGACUAAGACUCAACCUAACUUUCAACAGCCAAGUGCUAACCCAACUUACAAAGGAAUCCCACAGAAUCAUGAAACAAAAUAGAAAGAUGUACAAAGAAACUCUGAAAUAUCUUAUGAUUUUUUCUCCUGGUUUAACUCACUGCCUUUUACCUUUCGUUGGCUUUUUCUUAUAAACCUCACCAUAUUUUCUCCUAGUUUCUUUUUUUUCUUUCUUUCUUGCUGAAUGACGUGAUCAAAGUGAAAAGAGAGAGGAGAGGGAAGAGAGGACUUUUGGCUUUCGGUGGAAGCUUCAAGGAAAUUAAUUGAAAUAAAUUUGGGGUUCAAGUAUCUGAAAGUGGGAGUAGGUGACCGUAUGAGGCUUGAAGGAUUUUGAGCUCAUUUCUUUAUUUUCACAUAUUUGGUUCAUGGACUUGUGAUAGGGUUUGGCUUAGUUAUGAUGGACCACAGUGUGUGGACUUAAUUGUUUGUUCCUUAGGUCAAGAUGUUUGAUUUAUUUUUCCUGCACACCGAACCAAAUAAAUUAAACCAACAAUUUAUAAUUACCCUAAUUUUGUAGUAUGACUAUUAUCGCUGUUCGAAUUAUGGGUAAUAGAUAUGGCAGUAUAAGUAGUUUCUGAAGGGUUACUUAAAGAAGAUCAUUGAGAUUAUUGAGAUAUAUAUGGUUUCUCAAUUUGAUUAUAGUUUUGAUAUCGCUAGUAAAGAAUAGGAAGUGUAGUGUAGGGCUUCCCACAUAUGCUAACCCAGUUAGCCAAAGCAUGAACAACAUUAAUAAAUAUAACAACAAUUGUAAUAAACCAACAAAAGAAAACAUGACAUUCACCUGAUAGCUCCAGCUGCUGCUUUCUCAAAAUAAACACGUGAGUGCAACCAGUCUUGAAAUUUAAGCAUUUUCACAUAAGUACGCAAAGUCAUUUUCCUCAAGCAAUAUGAGUGAAAAUCAAAUUGAUCUUCAGUAAUAUCUGCAUAAUGUUUUUCAUUGGUAUCUAAUGUAUCUAGACACAAUUGUAACAAUUUCUCAUUGGUAUCUAAUUUAAUUGUAAUCUAUUAUUAUUAUUAGGUUAGAGAUUAACAAAUGCAGCAAAUAUUGGAGCACUGAGAGACAGAGUAGCAAAAUUGAAAUUUACUGCUUCCUUUACGGUGGAAAGGCAGCCAUCACACAAGCAGCUCAUACAUUAGCAAUGAGAGUUCCAAAUGGCAUACAUUUAAACAACCAUGCCCUUUCUGGCAUUGCAGGCUAUCUACUCUAUAGUUCUCAGAGUUAUUACCACUUCCUGAACACAUAUUCAGCUUGUUUAGAAGCCAUUUGAACCCCUUGGCAGCUUCAAUUCCAACAAUGAUGGAAAAUCCAACAAGAAAUAAGCAUGGGAAACCACAUUUGCAAAACAAACCCACUCAGUAAUGCUAAAUGCUAAUCAUCCUGCAAUCUUAUUUCCAUCAUGUCAAAUGAGAAAAUGUCAUUUAAUUCUGCUGAAGUUUGCAAAAUUGUUUAGAGAUGAUUCACUCCUUUUUUUUUCCUAAAUCUUUACCCUAUUUUAUGUGACAUCCUAGAUAAAAGAAAGUUCUAUAUAUGUUUAUUUUUAUGUAAUCCUAGUUCAGAUGGCCAUAAAUUCUAAAAUGUUCACACGCUAGUACGAUUCAGCAACCACGAAUCAAAUCUUAACAACUACUCUCAAAGAAUCCAAAAUUCGAACCAUACAAAAAGAAAGGCAAAAGAAAUAAAGGAUGAUCAAGAGGAGAGAAUGAAACUUGCACUAUUCAACCAACAACCAGACAGUAGCAACUGAGAAUAAGUUACAUGGCUAGAAAAGUAAACGCCAAAUGCAAUUGAAGAUGCCAGUCUAGGGAAGUAUCAAAGCAAUUUGCUUAAAUGGCAUAGAUUUAGAUACACCAUCCACCCACCUCUGACACAUGAAAAUAGAGCAUAUGCACUUGAAAAUUUUUAAUGAUUUCUUAUAUAUGUGCAGUAACACAAUUUUAUUAAUUUGUUUGUUAUAGCCGUUAGUAUCAUUUACCACAACGAAAAUAGAAGGCCAUCUGCAUGUCCACACACAUAAAAUCUCAAGUAAUAACGUUAAUUUGGGAAAAAUUUUCAAAAUCAGUCACCAAAAAUUACUACAGCUGUAAAUAUGAACCAAAAGCAAUAACCUGAAAUCAGUGAUCCAAGUAAAUAUUAGAAUCAUCGAUCAACAAGGGGCUUAUUCAAAUCAACUACAAAGUUCUGUGCCAUCAUCUUAGUAUUGAAUAUGGACAGAGAAUUUGGGUUGAAAUUCAGACGAGGGUUGAAGUUUGGGAGGAAUUUUGGUUUUGAAACUAAGGCACUUCGAAAAAACAAUUAAGAAAAACAGAGAAUUGAAAAAUAGUGUGAAAGCAUACUUUCUCCUCUUUCUCCAAACCUCAAACCCUCUUCUUUCCACCAGUGGUGCACCUCUUGUGCAAAGAAUUCCUAGAAAUACCUGAAACACAACAAACAAACGCAUUAGAUACGGUAUUGCAAUUGAAUUCUAUGAAAGUAUAAAAAAAUUUGGCAGGUGCCGUGGAAGCUCCACUGGGAAAGGGCUUCUUUUUCUUCUUCUUCCUCUUUGUCAAAAGAUAAUUUGUUUCUUCUUCAAGAUCAAGUUGGUACAACUUCUUUGAAUCAAUUAUUAUAAAAUGAACAAUUUUAAGAGAAUUAUUAUAAUGAUUUUACCGACAAUGAUUUACAACAACAUUUAGAUAAGAAACAAUGUGAAUUAAUUGGUUAGUAAUUCAACAUCAUCUCAAAAUACAAGGAGAAGAAAAAUCUAAAAAAGACAGAACAGGAGAAGUGACGAUGCAGGGACCACCAACGGACUACGGUCUACGGCGACGGCGAGGUCCCAAAACCAGAAGACGACGAGCGACGACGACCCGAUGAGUUGCUUCUGUCGCCGACAACGAGGAUCCCAGGAAAGGCCGCGACACGUGGAGACGCCAGCGAGUGUGACUGAGACGAGAUUCGAGUGUGACUGAAAGAGACUGUAGUGGGCUAGUGUGAGAGAGAAGAGAGAGUUUCAGUCUGAGAAUUGAGAGAGAGACGUUCUUUGAGAGAGACGUAAGAAAACCGAGGAAGAUGAAGAAAACCAGAACAAUUCUUUUGAAUUUUUUUUUGUUUUUUAGAUGUGUUCUUUUUUUUUUUGUAUGAAUGAACAUCAGAAAUAAGGGUUUAUGGAGGAGUAUAAGCAUGAUUGACUGUACAUGAAUAAUCAAUCAGAUGUUGCUUUAUUUUUAAAUUAUUUAAGUUUAUAAAUAUAAGUUAGCUCAAUUUUAAAAUUUGAUUAAUUUAAAGAGAUAGAUUUUGUCCAACAUAAAGAAAAGGAUAUUUAAGUCUUUUUAUAAAAUUAAAUAAAAAAAUAUUGCGCGCGGUCAGGUUGCAGCGAUAUUAGCGUGGGAUGCAUCGGCGUCGACAGGCUAUGGUGGGUACAACGGCGCGGGAUGAGAUUGCGGCGGCGUGCACGGGCAACGGCUGAACGGCGUUAGGAAAAACGGCAGUGUUUGAUGCAUCGGAAUGGCCGUCUCCGAUACCGACGACGAGUUUUGGGAGUGGACCGGAGAUUGACGACAAAUUUUGAGCAUGAACAAGAAAUUAGGAGAUUAUAGUAAAAUUGGAAAUAAUAGUAUGUAGUGCGAAUGUGUAUAAUUAUUAAUUCUAAUUUUCUAAAAUUUAAAAUUUGUAAUUAAAUAAUUAAUUAAGAAUCUAAAUUUUAAUUUUUAAUUUAUUAUUUUAAAUUUAUUGUAGACCGAUUCAAGAUAUAAUUUAUCGAUUUUUUGGCCAAAUUAAUUUAUUUAAUCUAAUUUUGAUAAAAAUAACAUAGUUUCAUCAAUUAUAUAUAUUAAAUUUUAAUUAUUUAAAAAUAUUCCUUUUAAACGUAUUGACGUGACUUUCGCAACAAAUAUAUUUUAUCCUUUUUUUUUUUAAUUCCUUUUUGCAUGGAGCAAGAAGCCCCUAUCCUCAUGUGCAGGCAUUUUUGCUAGCACAACCUUUAACUGAGGGACCUCACAACCUUUAACUUUCCAGUGCUUUCCUAGCUUUUUGCUGCCGCAGCACCAUCGAUCUCGUUCGAUCGGAGAGAGUGAUGGCGGAAUUGGAUGUUGCUGAGUCAAAAAAAAGGACAAACGGAGCAGGUUGAAAUGGCGAAGGAAGCGUGCCUUUGCCUUGUGUCGUAUGAAAAGUUGUUCGUGAUCAAACUAAGCAAUUUAAAGAAACAAGAAGUUGAUGUCAAAGAUUGGACUUGUUUGCCACCACCAGAGUUCGAUUUCGAUUUGAAACUUCCAAAGUUUGAUAUGUGUCCUUUCGAGUUCGACUCCAAGAUCUAUAUGGUGUCCGGGGAGCCGGGUAGAAUCGGGAGUGCGAGGGUCUCCUGGCCUAUCUACGAAUUCAAAUUUGGGGAGGGCAGUUUUGAGCGUGCGGAAUCACUGGAUGAUGCACCGCUCCCUUUUGACAAAGCAUUCAUGGCAAACACGCCAGGCUCAGGCGAUGUUUAUUACUUCUAUAUGGAAUCACCGGUCAAAGGUUCACCUGACUGUUACGUUCUUUGUUCUGGAUCUAGAACUUGGAAACCCUUAAUGGCUCCUCCGACCGUCAGCGACCCACCUUUCCGAUUUAACAUGUUCCUCCUCGACAACAACAUCUUUCUUUCAUCGAGGAGAAACAGAGACACCUGUUUGGCCCGCUUCGACCCCAUAAAAGAGAAUUGGACGACUGAACCGGCCGCUGAGAACAAUCUUUCGAACUUCAUAGACACCUUUGCGGGUGGUAACUACAGUAGUUUUAUUUAUCACCCGUACAUUUCUGUGUCCCUUCCGGGUCUUGGCAGCAGCAACUACACCGUUUGCCUCACAAAUGAAUAUGUGGUGGAACCUCCUCCUAAGACACCUUUGAACAAGGUCCUUGCCAUUCUCGUUAACCACCGGAAUAGCCGUGUUGCAUUAUAUCAAUACCUUGAUGAGUGUUUUGAGGGUAUUCAACCCAGUGUGGGAGAAGAUUCCAGGUUAAAUUUUGUUGACCUUGGCAACGGCAAGCUGUGUGCAAUACUCUUUGGAAGUCUAUAUGAUUUCGAAUCUAAUUCAUCGGCGCUAUGCUUCUCAGUUUUCACACUGUCAGUGGACUUUGCAGCAUUGCAACUUGAGGGUGGGGCUCCUCCCAUGGAGCGAGAUUUCUUACAAGUGACUGUCCAUAAGAAGAGUGCCUACACCAUGGAGAUCUCCAAGUUUGGUCAUCAUAUGCGCCACGCGUUUGUUUGAAAAAUUUAGUUUAAAAAUUUGAUUUGAGUCAUAUUUAUAAUAUUAUCGAUUGAAUACAUUAUUGAUUUGAUUAAGAAAACAAGAAAAUAAUAAGAAUGAUGAUAAAGCAAAAAUAAUCUUCCGUCCGGGUUAUAAAAAUUCAAAUCAAGUUUCUAAAUGAUUGAAGGAAAAUAAUGAUGUUAUUUUUAAUUUUUUUAAUGUCAUUCCUGACAUGAUUUUUUUAACAUUAUCAAAAUAGGUCAUGUUCCUAAACAAAAUAAGCUAAUGUAGUGGUCAGUUUUAAACGAAGUGCUAUAGAGGGGUUCUAUGAGUCUAUUCUUUCAAAGAUGAUCAUUGCUACAAAAUAUAAUGAUACAUGCGUAUGGAGUAAAGAAAUUUACAAGUCUCAUUCAUAUAUGAUAAUAUACUACUCUGUACAGAGCCCCAAACUAAAACAAAAGACAGGGAAGCAAAAAGUUAAGAACAAGAAGUGGAAACCUAAAAUCUGAUGGGUGACUUUAUCAACAUUUUCUUCCAAUACAUAUUUCACAUAACCAAACCAUUAUCUCCAGCACAAGCAACAUAGUUUAGUGUAGUCAGUUCUAUUCAAAAUCUAUUAUUUGUUGUAUAAUGGAUUUCAGCUUCAAAAGGCAUUUGAGUCAUCAAAGGUGAAUUCCCCAUGUAAGCACAUCUGGUUCUGCAUGUAGACAUAAACAUUUAAGUUCCGAUUCACUUGCCCCUGGCCACUUAUCUGAGAAAUUGGAAAUCCAUUUUGCAUAUCUUGCAAGUCAUGACUGACAGGGCCGUUUCAGUUCAGGCUGAUGUUCCGACUUCUGACCUAUCCACGUUAUCACAUCUUCUGACAAACUGGUUAAGAGUUCUCUACCUUGAAGGGCUAUGCUCAAUAGUAGUAUGCUUUGCAGGGCUACUCAAUGGCUGAUUAUUUGGCACAACUAAGGUGUUCUCAUGGCCAUCUAACAUCUGAUUUUUCAAUAACUAAAAUUCAGAUUGGUUUCUCAAAAACAUCAAAAAGUAACUCUCAAAUACUACUUGAGUAUAAAUCUUGACAAAAUAUGAAUAUAAACCAGAAUGGAAACCUUGAAGCUAAGCAUUAUGUACAUUUUGCAUUACAUAUGAUAGUUCAAGAUGUAGAAAUGUACCUGCCCCAAAUUAUCCAGUUUGAAUUGCACCACAUCUCUAUGAUGUAAAAAUUUAUACAUCAAUGCAUAAUAAAUGUUAAGUCAAUGCUAUACCAAACAGCGAAAGACUGCAGAAAUAACAGAACCUACCAUAUGAUGUCGUGAACCGUAUCAUUUGCCAACAAUUAGUAUAUAUUUACUGAUGAGACCUGCAAACAAGAACUAACUAGUCAAAAAAACAGAAGAGCACAUGUUGUCUUUGCUACUCAAAAAUUUAGAUGUGAGAGUUCUUUUCAUUUGAGAUUAUCUGUUUUCUUAAUGUUGUCAUGCAACUAGUAACAACUCUCUCCUUUCUACUUAAUGAGUGUGAGAAUACCAGGCCAAUUCUAUGAGCACGAUCUUUGACCUGAAUCAGAUCACCUGGAGUCCAGGAUUGUUCUGCAAAGCUUGCAGCAGUUAAAGUUAAUCCAACUCCCCCAGCUUUAAUGGAUAGCUGCAUGAUAACGUGUCACAUGAAAUCAUUAUCUCAAGCACAAAAACUAACCCAUACAACAGAAAAGAUGCUUAUAACGGAAACCCAUGGAAGAAAUACACAACGAAAAAUACCACCAUACCACAGCCGCUUUGAUAUAACCCUUUUCUUAAAAUCCUAACCAAUUGUUGCCUUCAUGCACCGGGUGUACCUCCAUCAAUCCGGAUGCAACCCACUUUUUUCUUCUGGAAGAUUUCAACAGUUUUUUAAGUGUCUAUAAUUUUCAAUAUAAAAAAAAUGAGUAAAACCGAAAUGGUCUUACAAGAAGGCACUCAUGUAUCGCAUCUAUCAUUGGCUGAUGGUGCGCAAAUAUAAGAAACUUGCAACCUGCCUGCAGUGAUCACAACAUAUUACACGUGAUAACCACCACUAGCCCAUAUGAAAUAGAAAGAUGGAAACAAGAGAAAAAAAAUUGAAGCAAUCAAACUUUCAAAUUAAGCAUACACAAUGAUUUGGGGCGACAGGAAGAUGGAUGAAAUAUAAGAAUUAACAUAUAGUCUAGUUUACAGUUCGUGUUUGUUUUGGUCACCACUCAGACCAGCCAACGUUGACACCAAUAAUAAUUGUGGCAUACGUAUUAAAAUGUCAUAUGCUGACAUUUUCACUACACUGUUCGGCCAAUUUAAUUCAUUCAACUUAUGGUCCCACAUUAAGGGGCACCGACUGCAAUAAAAGCAAUAAGAAAAGACCAAUUUAACCAACAUUGAACAUAUUUUAAACUAUUGGAUGACAAAAAACCAUGCAUCAUGGAAGCUACUUUGCUAUAACAGCUACUAUAUGGAUGGAAUCCCAAACACUUGACCAGCUUCCCCCCAAAGGAAUUAUAUAAGCCAAGCUCAAUUCUCAUUCAGAUAGAAAAUAAUAACAUCAGUUUCCCAAUUAUAAAGAAAAUGAAAAUAGAAGAAUUAUUACCUGAACUUUAUAAUUAGAUAUUUCUCCUAGAGCCUUCUCUGCUUUUGACAAGGAAGACAGCGGGAACAUCCAUAACCUGCAGACUCAAUAACUUUCAAAUAAAUAAGCCCUCAAAACAGCAAUCCAGACAAGCGUGCUAGGAUGAACACGCACACUUAUUGCUGGAGGAGAGACAGAGAUACCUUUCUUUUGCAUUCCAAGAAGCUCUAGGGAUUCUCCGAAAAGCAGAAAUUAUUACCUGCCAUGAAACAUAGCCUAUAGAGAAUGAGUACGCAGGAACUUGUUCAAGGUCAAAGACAGCCCCUAAUUAUGGAAAAUUCAAAUUUUUUGAUAGAAAUAUAGAAUUCAAUACUCUUGAUGAAGUUAGCAUGUGAAACCUGGUCAUAUUGGAAUUUCACCGCAACAUGCCCACUGGAAUGAAGAAAAAGUUUGACAGAAAACUUCGGCAGUUCUUUAGAAGGCUCAUCUGGUUACAUAUAAAGCCAAAAUCCAAAGCAAAUGCUAAUAGAUCAACAAAUGAUAUUUCAAAAACAAGAAGAAAUUACAUCUAAGUUUAUAACCAUUUUUUUUUUGUUAUGGAAGAUAAAUAGAAUUAGAGACAAGUAAUAUAGCCAUAAACAAUGACACUGAAACAAAUGUUAAGGUUUUGAAGGAAAGAAGCUUACCUUGUUUUGUCCCUGGUUUCAAUGAGGAGGGUAAUGCUCUAGCUCCUGGAUUGCAAUACAAACACACAAUGAGCAGUGUGAUGCCUGAACAUCUUUCCUAUAUCUUUUCCUGUUGAAUUUGCAUUCAAUUUGUUGAGUUCAAUUAGGAAUUAAUUAUUUUUUAGCCACUAUAGAUGUUACUUUGAGUCGUGUACAAUUCUGUUUCUUUUAGUUAGUAUUCGAUUGGAUUUGAUGGUGCAGAAAAAGAGAAGAAGGCUAUAUAGGGCAGGAAUGACUUAGAGGAUGGAGAGGAAGCUUGCACAAAUGGAAGGAACACAAGAAUUAAAGGAGAUGACCAGCGAGGAGCGACGCGUGCGCGUACCUAACGCGCGCACGUGAUUUGGAGAUUUGCACAGCGACGUGUGCGAGUACCUGACGCGUACACGUGACACGCGAAGAAGACCAUCGACGCGUACGUGUGACCGACGCGUACGCGUGACAUGCGCCACGUGCAGAGAAAACGCAGAAAACGCUGAUUGCUAUAAUUAAUUCUGAUUUAAACUUUAAUUUUUAUAAAUAGGAAAAGAUAUUAUAUUAGUUUUAGAAUAUAGAUUUUAAAUUAAGGGUAAAGUAUACUUUUUGUCCCUGAAGUUUACUAAAAGUUUCAAAAUUACCCCUAAGUUUCAAUUUGUUUCAAUUUUAUCCCAGAAGUUUUCGAAUUGCAUCAAUUUUAUCCUUUAAGUUGACGCCGUUUAAAUUAGUAACAGACGUUAGUGAUAUGGCAAAGUGAAGCGUGUGAUGUGGCAAGAAAGGUGAAACCCCCAAAAUACCCAUGGCUGAGUAACCCCAGUAAACGAAUUGGCUUCCUUGUUCAAACAUAAGCCUUUUAUCUUCCCUGUGGCACGAAGGAACACAGCCAGAAAAACAGAAUCAGUCGAGGAAGCUUGCUGGGUGGUCAGACGACGCACCGUUUUCUUGAGUCCGCCGCGAGGAGGGGCAGGACGGCCCAUGCUGCGACGCCGUCGAGACUGAGGGAGGAGUCUCGGAUAGCAUUCAGUCAUCAACAAUUCAGUCUGGGGUAGCGCCAUUCUGAUCAUCGUUUCCGACGAGGUAGGCCACGAUUCUGAUCAAUCUUGCUACUGCAUGUUUGAACAGUUAGGAUUUAGGGUUUUUCUUUAUCAGUCUUGAUUGCUGUUAGGGUUCUAUUACAUUCAGGGAUUGAGGGAUUUCUGUUGAGUUUUUGUGAAAAAUAUAACUUUUACGUGGUCUAUAUUUUCGAACUAUUAGUUACUCUGUUCUUUGGUCUGAAAAUGUUUUUAUAACGGCAGGAUGGAUGAUUUCAGUGUUAGAGUUCAUCACAGGGGUAGGUUUUGUAGUGAUAAGGGUAAAACUGAGUAUGUUGAUGGUAAGGUGACAACGGUUGACUGGUGUGACAGAGAUAGAUGGAGUGUUAUAGAGGCUUAUGAUGUGGUUGGAAAACUUGGGUACAUUAACUUGAUGGUUGCUUCUUGAAGACACCAUAUGGAGGAUGGCUUUUGGUUGCUAUGGGGUGGGAUCCGAAUGACCAGAUGCUACCGAUCGCAUAUGCAGUCGUGGAGGCUGAGACAAAAGAUUCAUGGACAUGGUUCCUCUCAAACCUAAUUGAUGAUAUAGGAGCAGAGAAAUUACUUCGUAGCACAUUCAUGUCUGACCAACAAAAGGUAAUCUACUAACCUGUAUUUUAGUGUAAUUAAGAUUUUGCUCUGUAUUUUAGUAUAUUACGAGUUUGCUGUGAAUUAGUCUUGAUAACUAUAAUCAUUAUAUUAAGAUUGUAUGAUAACUAUAAUCACUAUAAUCAUCAUACCACUGAAGAUGGUCAUUGAAACUUGAUGGCAUAUUGAAUUUGUCCAUGUGAAUUAUAUAUGUGUUCUUUUUGGUCUACUCUGUUUUGGUUUCUGCUAUGGUGUAUCUGCAGGACAGAAGCAUAAGCAGAACACACUUGAAAAUUAGUGAAUUCAUCAUGUCACAGAACUCUCUCACUCUAACUCUCUGUGUCUAAGCCAAUUUAGUCUAUGGCUUCUUAGAUGUAGGGAUAGUAAUAGUAUGUAGCUGCUAUUUAUAAUUAAAUUUGAAUUAUUGAGUGCGCAUAGUCAGCAUAGAAAAAGAAGAUUCUUUUACUGCAAACACACAUUCCAAUUAUUACUUAUUUUUUUAUUCUUUUGGGUCCUAUUCCAAUAAUUACUUCAGAUUUUCCUUCUAUAACUUUAUAAAAGGAUUGUCACAACAGGUUCUUAAUGCCAAUUUUAGUGCCAAACUAUUUUAAUCCUUUUAGGGAUACUUUUGAAACAUAAAUUAAACUUCAAGGACAACAACAUUAACAAGUUUUCGACUUUAGUACAGUUUUGAAACUGUUUACAAACAGCCAUCCUAUUCUUACUCUGCUAUUUUCAUCUGUCACAAACGCAUUAGUUCCCUAACCUCAAAUGGGUUCCAUUCUUCACCCACAGAUAAACCAUUAGAAUCACCAUAAACCAACCCAACACACCAAAAAUUACAGCCACCAACAGUUUGCAUUUGGCAUAAACUAAUUUAGCCUUCAAGGUGGAAAUCUUCAUCUUCAACCUUGCAACCUCAGCCUCUUCUAUCUCUGCAACUCCAUCCGCCCAGGAAAAAAAUGUGCCCUCCUUCCCAAUCUGCAACAUAAACACAAAAAAAAAAAAGAAAUUGAAGAUACUCAAGAAGACAUCAAAAUGAGAAAGCACUCAAACUUACAUCAAAGUAUACACAGCCCCAAAAUCUCCGGCCGGGAUUGUCUGGUGUCUUCGACCAUCUCAGUACAGGGGGUUCACCACAGUUGCACGUUAGCGUUCUUCGUCGCCGACUACUUUUUUGUGAUGAUACAGAGCCUUGGGAAGCCAUUCCUUAGGGUUUCUGAUUCUUACAGAGAAUGAAGAAGACGAACACGCAGACGUAAAUGAAGAAGUUAGUUUUAGGGUUUCAUGAUGGGAUUUUUACCUAUUUUAUUUUUUUAAUAUAAAUUUUUAAACAAAAAUUAAAAAUUAUUUAAAAAAACGUUUUACAAAUGAGUCACACACAUAGUUGCCACAUGGAACUCCUUGUUGCCACGUCAUUAACGUCUGUUAGUGAUUUUAACGCUGUUAACGUUCAGGGGUAAAAUUGAUGCAAUUCGACAACUUCUGGGAUAAAAUUGAAACAAAUUGAAACUUAGGGGUAAUUUUGAAACUUUUAGUAAACUUCAGGGACAAAAAAUAUACUUUACCCUUAAAUUAAUUAGGAUUAGAUAUAAAAGAGAAAAUAAACUUCUCUUCGGGGGAUGCCAACAUUAUUCCACCUCAUUCCAAAUUUACAGUUUAAGAGAAUCCUAGUUUUUACUCUUUUCCAUGAGUAACUAAACCUCCACUUUUAAUGUUAGGAGCUCUGUCUAUUUGUAUAGAUUGAUUCUAUUAUUUUUGUAUUUUAAUUCAUGUACUGAUUUAUAAUUUAAGAAUUGUUUUCGUUCUUUAUAUUAUGAAUUUGGGUGGGACGGAAGUAUGACCCUCUUUCUAAUUGAGUUCUUGUAUAACUUGGAAAAUCUCUUUACUUGAACAACAGCUUGAAAACAAUUUCUCCUAAAUUCUAAUUAUCUGGACUUAACGGGAUACGUGACAUAUAAUUCUCUUAUAUUUGGAUAAUUAGGAUUUUUGUGGCAUAAUAACUAGAAUUAAACUUCACCCCCUAAUUGAAAUUAAUUGAUCAAGGAAUUGGCGGUUGAUGAAAGUUAGAGGAAACUAGAAAGGUCUAAGGAAUUAGGGUCUAGUCACAUAUAAUUUGCCAUGAAUUAAAUCUUGCAUGAUUAAAAUAAAUUAAUAAGAAAAGUCAAUGCGAAAACUAGAUAACUCUGAAGCCUUAACUGCCUUUUCUAUAUUAUUUUUCCAACUUAUUUACUUGCCUGCAUUUACUGUUUUAAUACUUUUGAACUCUCAAACACUAUUUUCUGCUUGUCUAACUAAGUAAAUUAAUCAACCAUUGUUGCUUAGUCCCUCAAUUCUCGUGGGAUCGACCCUCACAUUUUUAUUCCCGUCAAAAUUUUUUUCUUUUCUUUUUUCUUUUGUUCUUUCGUUCGUGCCCCUCCUGUUUCGUUUUAUUUCUCUUUUUUUUCUUUUGUUAUUUGAUUCUCGUUAACAAAAAAAAUAAUUUAAUACUAAUAUUUUUCUUAAUUUCUGAAAUUAAGUUUGUUGUUCCCUAAUUAGUCUUAUUUUAAUUUUUCUUAUUUAAUUUGUCUAAUAAUUUUAAAAAUUUUUAGUCUUAAUUUUGAUAGUAAUUUUCGAAUUUUAGUGUUUGUUUGUUUUAUUCAAUAUUUUUAUCUCUUUACUCAGGUUACCUCACUGGAAAUUCUCUGCACUCUGACGUAGAGAGUUCUAUCCUUUCUUGUCUUUUGUCUGUUUAUGCACAUGAACAGAGACAAGGAACCACUCUUAGACUUUGAUCCUGAACUUGAAAGGACUUUCAGGUGACGUUUGCAACAAACAAAACUUUACAAGGCUGUAGAAUCCACUAUGGAUCCUAACAAUGUUGCUAAUGCCAAUGUGGCAAACCCAAAUGGAAAUGAGCAACAAAGAAGAGUACUUGGGUCUUACUCUGCUCCUACUGCAGAUCUUUAUGGAAAAAGCAUUGUGGUGCCUCCUAUAGCUGCGAACAACUUUGAGUUGAAGCCACAAUUGGUCACCCUGGUACAACAAAACUGCCAGUAUCAUGGUCUUCCCCACGAAGACCCAAAUCAAUUUAUUUCUAAUUUUCUGCAGAUUUGUGAUAUUGUGAAGACAAAUAGAGUGAACCCAGAGGUGUACAAACUCAUGCUCUUCCCGUUUGCUCUGAGGGAUGGAGCAAAGCUAUGGCUAGAUUCCCAACACAAGGAGCGUUUGGAUACUUGGGACAAGGUUGUUACUGAGUUUCUUACUAAAUUUUUCCCACCAAAGAAGCUGACUAAGCUUAGGGUGGAGGUUCAGACCUUCAGGCAGAAGAAUGGUGAAACUCUUUAUGAAGCUUGGGAGAGAUACAAGCUACUGACUAGGCAAUGCCCUCCGGACAUGUUCUCCAAAUGGACCCAACUAGAUAUCUUUUAUGAAGGUUUGGGUGAAAUGUCCAAGAUGUGCUUAGAUAAUUCUGCAGGUGGUUCACUGCACAAGAAGAAGACACCGGAAGAAACUAUUGAGCUUAUUGAAUUGGUUGCUAGCAACCAAUAUUUAUACUCAUCUAACAGGAAUUUUGUGAACUCUGAGGGUCCUCAGAAGAAGGGUGUUAUGGAAGUAGAAGCUCUUAAUGCUAUUCUUGCUCAGAACAAGCUUAUGUCUCAGCAAAUAAAUCUACUUACUCAGCAGAUGGGUGGCAUACAAGUCUCAGCUAUCAACACCCAAAAUCCACCUCAAGAGGUCUCUUAUGACAUGACAGGUAAUUUUGUGCAAAAUGAUAAUUAUGAUUAUGCUCAAUCUUCUUCUGAACAGGUAAAUUACAUGGGAAAUGGUCCCAGAAACCCCAAUAAUGAUCCGUACUCUAAGACAUACAAUCAGGAAUGGAGAAAUCACCCAAAUUUUGGGUGGAGGGAUCAACCUCAGAGACCUUAGAAUUUCAACAAUAAUUCUCAGGGCGGCUUCCAACAGAACAAUCACAAUACCCGCCAAUUUCAGUCUCAUCAACAACAAUCACCUCCGCAGGCAAAUUCUAAAUCCCAAGAAGAUUCUAAUUGGGAGAUGAUGAGGAUUUUUAUGUAGAAAACCAGAGCCUUCAUUAGAAACUUGGAGGUGCAAAUGGGCCAACUGAGCAAGCAAAUACCUGAGAGGUCUGCAAGUACAUUUUCAGGUGAUACAGUGGUGAACCCAAGAGAAGACUGCAAGGUUAUUCAAUUAAGAAGUGGUAAAGUAGCUGGCUCUAAGACCAAGGUCAAUGGAGAGUUAGUUGAAAAAGAAUCUCCAGAGGAGAAGAAGGAAGAAGUGGAGCACGCCCCUCCAAAGCGUGCAGACAACCCAUUCCCUGACUCUCUUGACACUUAUCCUACAUUGCCAAAGGCUCCUGAAUACAAGCCAAAAAUGCCACAUCCUCAGAGGUUUCAGAAGGCUUCCAAAGAAAAACAAUUUUCUAAAUUUUUAGAUGUCUUCAAGAAGCUACAGAUCAACAUUUCUUUUGCAGAGGCUCUUGAGCAAAUGCCUCUCUAUACUAAAUUUAUGAAAGAGUUGCUGACCCACAAGAGGAAUUGGAAGGAACAAGAAACAGUGGUGUUAACCAAGGAAUGUAGUGUCAUAAUUCAACACAACCUUCCUGAGAAAAUGCCAGAUCCAGGGAGUUUCAUAAUUCCUUGCACCAUUGGAGAUGUCACCAUUCAGACAGCUUUAUGUGAUCUUGGAGCUAGCAUCAAUCUAAUGCCACUUUCAGUGAUGAAAAAGCUUCAAAUUAAGGAGGUAAAACCCACUCGUAUUUCUCUUCAAAUUGCUGAUCUUUCUAUUAAAUUACAUGUGGGUGUUGUUGAGGAUUUACUUGUUAAAGUAGGACCAUUUAUUUUUCCUGUUGAUUUUGUUAUAUUAGACAUGGAAGAGGAGGUAAAAUCCUCUAUUAUACUUGGUAGACCCUUUUUAGCUACAGGUAGAGCUCUGAUUGAUGUGCAAAAGGGUGAAUUAACCCUGAGGGUUAAUGAAGAAUAGGUGGUCCUCAAUGUUUUUGAAGCUCUCAAGCACCCUAAUGAUUCUGAAGGGAGUAUGAAAAUAGAUGUUAUUGAACCACUUGUUCAAGAGGUACUGAAAACUGAGGUACUUGAUGACAUUCUGGAUCCUAUUUCUUAGUAUGAAUUAGUGGAAGUUGAUGAUUUACUACCCCAGAAGGCUAUGGUUCACACACCUAAAGCAGAGGAGGAAACUCCCAAGCUUGAGCUCAAACCUUUACCUCCUUCUUUGAAAUAUGUGUUCUUGGAUAAAAAUGAUUCAUAUCCAGUGAUUAUUAGCUCUUCCCUGAAUCUUGAAGAGGAAGAGGCGCUUAUUUCAGUGCUCAGGAGCCAUAAAACAGCUCUUGGGUGGACCAUUAGUGACUUGAAGGGGAUUAGUCCAACCAAGUGUAUGUACAAGAUCCUCCUUGAAGAUGAUGCUAAACCAAUUGUGCAACCACAAAGGAGACUCAAUCCAACUAUGAAAGAGGUGGUCCAAAAGAGGUAAUGAAAUUAUGGGAAGCAUGUAUUAUUUACCCUAUUUCUGAUAGUCCUUGGGUAAGUCCAGUGCAGGUAGUUCCCAAGAAAUGAGGGAUGACAGUGAUCAAGAAUGAAAAGAAUAAGCUUAUUCCUACAAGGACAGUCACAGGAUGGAGAAUAUGUAUAGACUACAAGAGGCUCAACACUGCUACAAGGAAGGAUCACUUCCCCCUGCCUUUCAUUGAUCAGAUGCUUGAGAGGUUAGCUGGUCAUGUUUUUUAUUGUUUUCUAGAUGGAUAUUCUGGAUAUAAUCAAAUUGCAGUGGACCCUCAAGAUCAAGAGAAGACAGCAUUCACAUGCCCCUUUGGAGUAUUUGCCUACAGGAGAAUGCCUUUUGGACUUUGUAAUGCUCCAGCAACUUUUCAGAGGUGUAUGCUUUCAAUUUUUUCUGAUAUGGUUAAAAAGUUCAUUGAGGUAUUUAUGGAUGAUUUUUCUGUUUUUAGUAAUUCUUUUGAAUCCUGCCUUAAGCAAUUAUCUCUUGUCUUGAAACGGUGUCAAGAAUCAAACCUUGUUUUAAAUUGAAAAAAAUGUCAUUUUAUGGUUACAGAAGGUAUUGUUCUUGGACACUGGAUUUCAAGUAAGGGAAUUGAGGUUGAUAGAGCAAAGGUGGAAGUAAUUGAAAAAUUACCACCACCAGCUAAUGUUAAGGCAGUCAGGAGUUUCUUAGGUCAUGCAGGAUUUUAUAGAAGAUUUAUAAAAGAUUUUUCUAAAAUUGCUAAACCAUUAAGCAACCUGUUGGUUGCUGAUGUUCCUUUUGUCUUUGAUUCUGAUUGCCUGCAUGCUUUUGAAACUCUGAAAGCAAACCUUACCUCUGCUCCCAUUAUAGCUCCCCCUGACUGGGAUUUACCAUUUGAGUUGAUGUGUGAUGCUAGUGAUUUUGCUAUAGGAGCUGUUCUAGGACAGAGGCAUGGCAAGCUUAUACAUGUCAUUUACUAUGCUAGCCGUGUGUUAAUGAUAUCCAAAAGAAUUACACAACUACAGAAAAAGAAUUAUUAGCUAUUGUGUAUGUUGUUGAUAAGUUUAGGUCUUAUUUAAUUGGUUCUAAGGUUAUUGUUUAUACUGAUCAUGUUGCUUUGAAGUACCUUCUAACCAAACAGGAUUCUAAACCAAGAUUAAUCAGAUGGGUGUUGCUCCUUCAGGAGUUUGAUAUUGAGAUAAAAGACAGGAAAGGGUCAGAAAAUCAAGCAGCUGACCAUCUCUCCAUAAUUGAGCCUGAAGCAAGAGUACAACCACCCACAGCUGUGACUGAGACGUUUUCGGAUGAGCAAUUGUUCUUCAUUCAGCAGACUCCAUGGUUUGCAGACAUUGCAAAUUACAAGGCCAUGAAUUUUAUUCCAAGGGAGUACAGUAGGCAACAAGUAAAGAAGCUAUUGACUGAUGCCAAGUACUACAUUUGGGAGGAACCAUACCUUUUUAAAAGGUGUUCAGAUGGUAUAAUCCGGAGAUGUGUCCUGGAUGAGGAAAAACAACAGAUUCUUUGGCACUGUCAUGGUUCUGAUUAUGGCGGCCACAUUGGUGGUGAAAAGACAGCUACAAAGGUCCUUCAAAGCGGGUUUUACUGGCCGACUCUCUUCAGGGACUCAAGAGAAUUUGUGAAGCACUGUGACAGAUGUGAAAAAGCCACGAAUCUCCCUGCCAACCAUGAAAUGCCACAUCAGGGGAUUCUUGAGGUUGAGUUGUUUGAUGUGUGGGGCAUUGAUUUCAUGGGACCCUUCCCACCUUCACAUUCAAACAACUAUAUCCUAGUGGCAGUUGAUUAUGUGUCCAAGUGGAUUGAAGCUGUGGCUCUACCCACCAAUGAUGCCAAGGUGGUAAUGAGCUUUCUUCAGAGAUAUAUCUUUAGCCGGUUUGGUGUCCCAAGGACACUCAUUAGUGGUGGAGGAAGUCACUUCUGUAACAGACAGCUGAACUCUCUUCUGCAGAGAUAUGGAGUCCGUCAUAAAGUGACAACCCCCUAUCACCCUCAGACAAGUGGACAGGUUGAAGUUUCCAAUAGGAAACUUAAGAGGAUUCUAGAGAAGACCGUCAGUGUUUCAAGAAAGGACUGGUCUAGGAAGCUUGAUGAUGCUCUCUGGGUAUACCGAAUAGCUUACAAGAAUCCUAUUGGCAUGUCCCCUUAUCAGUUGGUCUAUGGCAAUGCCUGUCACUUGCCAGUUGAGCUGGAGCAUAAAGCUUACUGGGCAAUCAGGUAUCUGAAUCUUGAUUUAGAAGCUACAGGAAUUAAGUGAAUGCUUCAGUUGAAUGAGCUUGAUGAAUUCAGAUAUUCAGCCUAUGAGAAUGCCAAGCUCUAUAAGGAGAGAACCAAGUUAUUACACGACAAGAAGAUUGCCAUCAGAGCUUUCCCGGGAAGCUGAAAUUCUGGUGGUCAGGACCGUUUGUGGUUACCAGAGCUUCACCAUAUGGUCAUGUGGAAAUACAGGAAGAGAAUGCUGAUAGGAAAUUCAUAGUGAAUGGCUAGAGGUUGAAGCACUAUCUUGGAGGCGAGAUCGAUCGCCAGAGGUCCGCUCAUCUGCUGAAUUAGCAGCACUGACCGUUAAGCUAGUGACGUUAAAGAAGCGCUUGUCGGGAGGCAACCCGAUGAUUUCGUAUCCUUAGUUAUUUUUCGUAGUAGUGAUUUUCUUAUUUAUUUGAUUUUUAUUGAGUUUUUACUGUUUUUCUUUCAAUUUACGUGUGUUCUGAUCAUGCAGCUAUUUUAGAACAGGAACCGAACACUUCGAAAAAAAAGGGGUGUUGGACGCGUGCGCAUCAUGUGUGAGUUUGCACCACCAAGGAAUUGACCCGAGAGUUGGGCCAGAGUGGUGCUGAAAGCGUGCUUUGCGCACAAGCAAGACCACGCGCACGCGUCCCUCACGCGUACGCGUUGUUUGCGAUUUCAGCCCAUCACGCGGAUGCGUCCUUGACGCGCACGCGUGACCAUGUAAAAUCGGUUUAAAAGGUGUUUGGCCAGAGAGUUAUGAUGGUGUGAGGCUAGAGCUGUGCUGGGCGCACAAGCCCCAUCACACGUACGCGUCCCUGACGCGUGUGCGUCGUUUUCCCAUCCUGGCCGUCCACGACGCGCACGCGUCAUAUACAAUUUUGGCUCUCGUGCGUAUCUGAACAGAGAGUUGUACGUGCACGGGGCUGCCCUUGCGCCAUUCACAUAACCAACAUCACGCGUACGCGUCCCAGACGGGUACGCGUCGCUUGAAAUUCGCGCGAUCCACGCGUACGCGUCACAAGCGACGCCCAAUUAAACCAUCUCAGCGCCUGAUUUCAAAUCAUCCACCCCCCAAUCCUAAUUCUCUCUUGUUCUUUUAUCCUUUUAUUCUUCUUUCAUCAUACUAUUUUUUUUUAUGUCUUUUUAUGUCCCUCUCUGUUUUCAGUUCUUCUUUGCUUGAGGACAAGCAAAUCUUUAAGUUUGGUGUUGUCACUUCGCUGAUGAUUUUUCUGUUUAUUUUUAUGGUACCAAAGGGAGGUGAAUCAUCUUCACAGAUGAGUACAGCCUGAAAAAUAAAACGGCCACUAGGAUAACUGAGGUGGUUGAAUUCCUUUCAUUCUAUAUUCCUUCCCGCUCUUACUAUGUUAUGUUCCGUUUUUUUUAUAUUUUUCUUUGUUUAUUGCAUGAUCCUUUAUUAGUUAGAUUCCUAGGUUCUAGUUUAGUUCUGUUAUUUCAAAAUUUCUGUUAGUUGCUUUAAUUCUGAAAGGUGUCUCAUGUAUUGCACUGAGCAUGAAAUCAAAAAGAAAGAAGAAAAAGGGGAUGUAAUGCAUGAGAAAUUGAGUUUAUUUUUUUAAGAGUAGUCUCAUUUAAUCAAAUGUGGUAGUGUUCUCUGUGAUUCUGAAUGCAUGACAUAAACCGUGCAUGUUUGAAUUUGAAUCAAGGAAUAUUGACGUAUAAGGAAAAAGAAUUUAGAGAAGUAUUAUGAAUUUUCUGAAAAUUAGUGAUAGUUAAUCCUUGAAGCAAAAGAAACAGCAAAAAAAAAGGGAGAAGAUGAUAUAAAACCAAGGUCCAAGGCUCUGAGCAUCAAUGACUAGGGAGGUCAAACAUGAUUAAAAGCUUAAAGAGUUGUUUUCCUAGUCAUAUGCUUAUGGUGUUCUUGUGUCAAGUAAUCAUUGAGACAAAACAUUUAGAGUUGAGAUCAAUUACAAUUAGUAGAGUAUGCCAAAGGCUUUGAGCACCACUGUCUGGGAAUAGCUGAAAGAAAAAAAUCAAAACUUAAAAAGAGUUUCCCAGUUAAGUGCUUGUGGUGUUCUUAUGUCAAUUAACCCUUGAGACAGAACAUUUAAAGUCACGGCUAGGCUCAAGGUGCAAAGCACCAGUUAAUUGAGAAUUAAGGGAUAUCUGCUGUGUUCAAGGAUUUAACUGAGGUAUAAAGAUCAGAGAACACAAAAUAUGAUCCGAAUUAUAAUUCCACAUGACAUUGACAUUCCUCUGAUUCAAAGGAGAGUGAGAUGCCAAAACUAUUCAGAAUUGCAAUAGAUAAAUCCCACUUUAAGAAGAGACACAAGCAUAACUGAACUCUCACUUCUCAUGCAAAUUCACAUCUUAAUCUUGCACUUAUUUUGGUUGCUUGAGGACAAGCAACAAUUCAAGUUUGGUGUUGUGAUGCGUGAGCAUCUUUCCUAUCUUUUCCUAGUGAAUUUGCAUUCAAUUUGUUGAGUUUAAUCAAGAAUUAAUUAUCUUUUAGCCACUAUGGAUGCUACUUUGAGUCGUGUACAAUUCUGUUUAUUUUAGGUAGCAUUCGACUGGAUUUGAUGAAGUUUCCGUAAAAAAAGAGAAGAAGGCUAUAUAGGGCAAGAAUGGCUUAGAGGAUGGAGAGAAAGCUUGCACAAAUGGAACGAGCACAAGAAUUAAAGGAGAUGACCAGCGAGGAGCGACGCGUGCGCGUACCUGACGCACGCGCGUGAUUUGGAGAUUUGCACAGCGACGCGUGCGCGUCCCUGACGCGUACACGUGACACGCGAAGAAGACCAUCGACGCGUACGCGUGACCAACGCGUACGCGUGACAUGCAGAAAACGCAGAAAACGCUGAUUGCUAUACUUAAUUCUGAUUUAAACUUUAAUUUUUAUAAAUAGAAAAAGAUAUUAUAUUAGUUUUAGAAUAUAGAUUUUAAAUUAAUUAGGAUUAGAUAUAAAAGAGAAAAGAAACUUCUCUUCGGGGGAUGCCAACAUUAUUCCACCUCAUUCCAAAUUUACAGUUUAAGAAAAUCCUAGUUUUCACUCUUUUCCAUGAGCAACUAAAUCUCCACUGUUAAGGUUAGGAGCUCUGUCUAUUUGUAUGGAUUGAUUCUAUUGUUUUUGUAUUUUAAUUCAUGUACUGAUUUAUAAUUUAAGAAUUGUUUUUGUUCUUUAUCUUAUGAAUUUGGGUGGAACGGAAGUAUGACUCUCUUUCUAAUUGAGUUCUUGUAUAACUUGGAAAAGCUCUUUACUUGAACAACAGCUUGAAAAUAAUUUCUCCUAAAUUCUAAUUAUCUGGACUUAACGAGAUACGUAACAUAUAAUCCUCUUAUAUUUAGAUAAUUAGGAUUUUUGUAGCAUGAUAACUAGAAUUAAACUUCACCCCCUAAUUGGAAUUAAUUGACCAAGAAAUUAACGGUUGAUGAAAGUUAGAGGAGACUAGAAAAGUCUAAGGAACUAGGGUCUAGUCACAUAUAGUUUGCCAUGAAUUAAAUCUUGCAUGAUUAAAAUAAAUUAAUAAGAAAAGUCAAUCCGAAAAAUAGAUAACUCUGAAGCCUUAACUGCCUUCUCCAUAUUGUUUUUCCAACUUAUUUACUUGCCUACAUUGUGAUAUUCUGAAUUUACUGUUUAAUACUUUUGAACUCUCAAACACUAUUUUCUGCUUGUCUAACUAAGUAAAUUAAUCAACCAUUGUUGCUUAGUCCCUCAAUCCUCGUGGGAUCGACCCUCACUCACCUGAGGUAUUACUUGGUACGACCCGAUGCACUUGUCAGUUAGUUUGUGCACCACAAUGCUCCUUCCAAAAUCUGAACCACAGAGUACAGGGAAGAAUACUAAAGGGUAAAGACUAUAGUACCAAACAUCUUUUGAUUCUUUUGCAUUGUUUUGUAACAUUAAAAUGAGGCAUACACACUCAUGAACAACACUUUAACAAAAUUACCCACAUACCAAAAGACAAAUUUAACCCAACAAGAGCAAAAAGGAAAGCAAAGCUAGACAAACCCCAUGAACAAUACAUAAUGGGAAACAUGAAACGGAAAAAAGAUGAUAACUUUACCCUUUGAGGAUGGAAUCGAAAAUGGGGUUUGGUGGGAAGGGUUGGGAAUGGUUGGCAGACGGUGGUUUUGGAAAAUGAUGUUGUUGUAGAUUGAAUUGUUGAGAAGAAGGAGGGGGUAGAAGAGUUGUGAAGUUGAGCAAUUUUCUGGAAAGCAUCACGUUCAAGAGAAUCGAGUUCUUGUGCAGUCCUCUACCUCCACUUCAAACUUCUUUGGUGACAACUCUUGAUACUUGGCAAAUUGUUCCUUCGCCUCGUCAUUCCGAUCAAGCAAAUUAUAAAUAAUUUUUUUUUGCAAAAGGUGUGAAUGAAGAGCGCCUCCUUGUCCUGGCCGACUUCAAUCUUCUGCUCUAGUAGCCACUUCAGCUCACUCACAACUUCCGUCUCAGCGUUUUCGAUACUGGAUUCUUCCAAAAAUCUAAGGAGACACCUCUUAUAUUAGAAACUAUUUAACAAAUCAAAGAAAUUAACAAAUCAAGAAAUAAUGUUUGGUAACCAAAGAAAAUUAGCCAAAAACAGUCAUAAUUUGUUUUAUUUAGCAUUCAUUAAUUAUUGCGACAAUUAAUGAAUGCUAAAUAAGAUAAAUUCUGGCUGUUUUUUUUUGUCUCCCUAGCAUUACCCUUUUAAAAUAUAGACAAAUAAUAAUUAGCCAUGUAAAAUUUAUUUUUCACAUAAGCAUUUAAUUUUUUUGUUUAAAAUAUAUAUUAUAUCACCACUUUUACUAAAACGCUCUUUUAAUUAAAUAAAAAUAAAAAAAUAUUUUUUUUAAUUUUAUAAAACUAACUGACAUGUACUUAUUAGUUAGACUACAAAAUAAAAAUUUAAUAAAUUUAAAUAUUUAUAUUCAAUCGAGUUAAAAUUUUAAACUAAUUAAAUUUCUCUAUCUAAAACAGGUUGUAUUUCUUUUCUUAUAAAUCCAGANNNNNNNNNNNNNNNNNNNNNNNNNNNNNNNNNNNNNNNNNNNNNNNNNNNNNNNNNNNNNNNNNNNNNNNNNNNNNNNNNNNNNNNNNNNNNNNNNNNNNNNNNNNNNNNNNNNNNNNNNNNNNNNNNNNNNNNNNNNNNNNNNNNNNNNNNNNNNNNNNNNNNNNNNNNNNNNNNNNNNNNNNNNNNNNNNNNNNNNNNNNNNNNNNNNNNNNNNNNNNNNNNNNNNNNNNNNNNNNNNNNNNNNNNNNNNNNNNNNNNNNNNNNNNNNNNNNNNNNNNNNNNNNNNNNNNNNNNNNNNNNNNNNNNNNNNNNNNNNNNNNNNNNNNNNNNNNNNNNNNNNNNNNNNNNNNNNNNNNNNNNNNNNNNNNNNNNNNNNNNNNNNNNNNNNNNNNNNNNNNNNNNNNNNNNNNNNNNNNNNNNNNNAAAUAUAAGAAAAUAAUGAUGAUUAAAAACAAUGUGAACAAUAAAUUUAAAAAAAAUAAAAAAUUUAAAUUAAAAAUUUUAAUUAAUUAUUUAAUUACAAAUUUUAAAAUUUAGAAAAUUAGAAUUAAUAAUUACACACAUUCGCACUACAUACGGUUACUUCCAAUUUUACCAUAAUCUCCCAAUUUCUUGUCUAUGCUCAAAAUUUGUCGUCGUCAAUUUCCGGUCCACUCCCAAAACUCGUUGUCGGUAUCAGAGACGGCCAUUCUGAUGCAUCAAAUACUGCCGUUUUUCCUAACACCAUUCAGCCGCUGCCCGUGCACGCCGUCGCAAUCUCAUCCCGCGCCGUUGUACCCCCGAUAGCCUGUCGACGCCCAUGCAUCCCACGCCAAUAUUGCUGCAACCUGACCGCGCGCAAUAUUUUUUUAUUUAAUUUUAUAAAAAGACCUAAAUAUCAUUUUCUUUAUGUUGGACAAAAUCUAUCUCUUUAAAUUAAUCAAAUUUUAAAAUUGAGCUAACUUAUAUUUAUAAAUUUAAAUAAUUUAAAAAUAAAACAAUAUCGGAUUGAUUAUUCAUGUACAGUCAAUUAUACUUAUACUCCUCCAUAAACCCUAAUUUCUGAUGUUUAGUCAUACAAAAAAAAAAAACAGAACACAUCUAAAAAACAAAAGAAAUUCAAAAGAACUGUUCUAGUGUUCUUCAUCUUCCUUGGGUUUUCUUACAUCUCUCUCAAAGAACGUCUCUCUCUCAAUUCUCAGACUGAAACUCUCUCUUCUCUCUCACACUAGCCCACUAUAGUCUCUUUCAGUCUCACUCGAAUCUCAUCUCAGUCACACUCGCCGGCGUCUACACGUGUCGCGGCCUUCCCUAGGAUCGUCAUCGCUCGUCGUCUUCUGGUUUCGGGACCUCGCUGUAGACCGUAGUCCGUUGGUGAGUCCCUGCAUCGUCGGUUCUCCUAUUUUGUCUUUUUCAUAUCUUCCUUCUCCUUGUAUUUUGAGAUGAUGCUGAAUUACUAACCAAUUAAUUUACUUUGUUUCUGAUAUAAAUAUUGUUGUAAAUCAUUGUAAUAAUUCUCUUUAAAUUGUUCAUUUUAUAAUAAUUGAUUCAAAGAAGUUGUACCAACUUGAUCUUGAAGAAGAAACAAAUUAUCUUUUGAGAAAGAGGAAGAAGAAGAAGAAGCUCUUUUCCAGUGGAGCUUCCACGGCACCUGCCAAUUUUUUUAUGCUUUCACAGAAUUCAAUUGUAAUACCGUAUCUAAUGCGUUUGUUUGUUGUGUUUCAGGUAUUUCUAGGAAUUUUUUGCACAAGAGACGCACCACAGGUGGAAAGAAGAAGGUUUGAGGUUUGGAGGAAGAAGAGAAAGUAUGAUUUCACUCUCUUUUUUAAUUCUCUGUUUUUCUAUAUUUUUUUUUGAAGUGCCUUAGUUUCAAAACUAAAUUCUCCCAAAUUUUAACCCUCGUCUGAAUUUCAACCCAAAUCCUCUAUCCAUAUUCAAUACCAAGAUAAUGGUACAUAACUUUGUAGUUGAUUUGAAUAAGCCCCUUGUUGAUCGAUGAUUCUAAUAUUUACUUGGAUCACUGAUUUCACGUUAUUACUUUUGGAUCAUAUUUACAGCUGUAGUAAUUUUUGGAGACUGAUUUUGAAUAUUUUUUCCAAAUUGACGUUAUUACUUGAGAUCUUAUAUGUGUGGACAUGCAGAUGGCCUUCUAUUUCCGUCGUGGUCAAUGAGACUAAAAACUAUAACAAACAAAUUAAUAAAAUUGUGUCACUGCACGUAUGUAAGAAAUCAUUGAAAAUUUCCAAGUGCAUAUGUUCUAUUUCCAUGUGCCGGAGGUGGGUAGAUGGUGUAUCUAAAUCUAUGCCAUUUAAGCAAAUUGCUUUGAUGCUACCCUAGACUGGCAUCUUCAGUUGCAUUUGGCAUUUACUUUUCUAGCCAUAUAACUUAUUCUCAGUUACUAUUGUCUGGUUGUUGGUUGAAUAGUGCAUGUUUCAUUCUCUCCCCUUGAUCAUCCUUUAUUUCUUUUGCUUUCUUUUUGUAUGGUUGGAAUUUUGGAUUCUUUGAGAGUAGUUAUUAAGAUUUGGUUUGUGGUUGCUGAAUUAUACUAGCGUGUGAACAUUUCAAGAUUUAUGGCCAUCUAAACUAGGAUUACCUAACAAUAAACAUAUAUAGAACUUUCUUUUGUCUAGGAUGUCACAUAAAAUAGGGUAAAGAUUUAGGGAAAAAAAAGGAGUGAAUCAUCUCUAAACAAUUUUGCAAACUUCAGCAGAAUUAAAUGACAUUCUCUCAUUUGACAUGAUGAAAAUAAGAUUACAGGAUGAUUAGCAUUUAGCAUUACUGAGUGGGUUUGUUUUGCAAAUGUGGUGUCCCAAGCUUAUUUCUUAUUGGAUUUUCCAUCAUAGUUAGAAUUGAAGCUGCCAAGGGGUUCAAGUGGCUUCUAAACAAACUGAAUAUGUGUUCAGGAAGUGGUAAUAACUCUGAGAACUGUAGAGUAGAUAGACCCCAACGUCAGGAAAGGCAGGGUUGAUAUCUUUCGUAUUCCUCGAAGCUGAUAGCACAGUACUAGUUGAGCAUAUUGACAACUUUGGCGUUGAGUUCUAUCUUCUUUUUAUCUUCAUAAUUCCAUUCGGCCUCAGUCUUAGAAAUGACUACACUAUCUGCUGCUGUUUUGGUUGGGACUUGGGGACCAUUCAAGAUUAUCUUCUAAAUGUUGUAAUAUACUAACUAAACAAAUAUCUUCAUUCUCUCCUUCCAAUAGCUGUAGUUCUUUCCAUUGAAGAACGGAUGUCUGUUGUGUAGGUCACCAUAUUGGAACCGUUGUUGUUCGUCAUCAGGAUCUUUUCUCCAAACUACAAAGCGUAAUCUCUUUGAGACCAAGCUCUGAUACCAAUUGAUGGUUAUCAGCGGCUGAGAGAAUAGGGGGUUGAAUCUUAGCCUUAUUUUUUACUGAAUAUUACUUUACUUUUUCAAGGAAACUUAGGAGAUGUUUUUACUUUUGUCUCAUAUCGAGUUGAGAGACAUUUUUAUUUUGUCUCUUAAGUAAAUAGAAACAGAAGCAAAGUAGAGAAGAAAAAGUAACACCCAGAUAUAUCCUGGUUCAACUACUUGGUGCAAUGUAACCUACAUCCAGUCUCCAUCACAAUUAUAAUGGAAUUUCACUAGCCUUUUCAACACAUUACAUACAUCAAUGUCUUUCAUAGGAUCUACCCAAUCCUAUCUGGGACAAAUCCUGAUUCUAACCCAAUCUAAAUUUGACUAAGGCUCAACCUAACUUUCAACAGCCAAGUGCUAACCUAACUUGUAAAGAAAUCACCACAGGAUCAUGAAACAAAAUAGAAAGAUGUACAAAAAAACUCUGAAAUAUCUUAUGAUUUUUCUCCUAGUUUAACUCACUGCCUUUUACCUCUCAUUGGCUUUUUCUUACAAAUCUCACCAUAUUUUCUCCUAGUUUUUUUUCUUUCUUUCUUUCUUGCUAAAUGACGUGAUCGAAGUGAAAAGAGAGGGGAGAGAGAAGAGAGGACUUUUGGCUUUCGGUGGAAGCUUCAAGAAAAUUAAUUGAAAUAAAUUUGGGGUUCAAGUAUCUGAACGUGGGAGUAGGUAACCAUAUGAGGCUUGAAUGAUUUUAGGCUCAUUUCUUUAUUUCCACAUAUUUGGUUCAUGGACUUGUGAUAAGCUUUGGCUUAGUUAUGAUGGACCACAGUGUGUGGACUUAAUUGUUUGUUCCUUGGGUCAAGAUGUUUGAUUUAUUUUUUCUGUACACCAAACCAAAUAAAUUAAACCAACAAUUUAUAAUUACCCUAAUUCUGUAGUAUGACUAAUAUCGUUGUUCGAAUUAUGGGUAACAGAUAUGGCAGUAUAAGUAGUUUCUGAAGGGUUACUUAAAGAAGAUCAUUGAGAUGGUUGAGAUAUAUCUGGUUCCGCAAUUUAAUUAUAGUUUUGAUAUUGCUAGUAAAGAAUAGGAAGUGUAGUGUAGGGCUUCCCACAUGUGCUAACCCAGUUAGCCAAAGCAUGAACAACAUUAAUAAAUAUAACAACAAUUGUAAUAAACCAACAAAAAAAAACAUGACAUUCACCUGAUAGCUCCAGCUGUUGCUUUCUCAAAAUAAACACGUGAGUGCAACCGGUCUUGAAAUUUAAGCAUUUUCAUAUAAGUACGCAAAGUCAUUUUCCUCAAGCAAUAUGAAUGAAAAUCAAAUUGAUCUUCAGUAAUAUCUGCAUAAUGUUUUUCAUUGGUAUCUAAUGUAUCUAGACACAAUUGUAACAAUUUCUCAUUGGUAUCUAAUUUAAUUGUAAUCCUAUUAUUAUUAGGUUAGAAAUUAGCAAAUGCAGCAAAUAUUGGAGCACUGGGAGACAGAAUAGCAAAAUUGAAACUUACUGCUUCCUUUACGGUGGAAAGGGCAGCCAUCACACAAGCAGCUCAUACAUUGGCAAUGAGAGUUUCAAAUGGCAUCUAUUUAAACAACCCUGCCCUUUCUGGCAUUAGGGGCUAUCUACUCUAUCCAUUUAAACAACUCUGCCCUUCCUGGCAUUGUGGGCUAUCUACUCUACAGAGUUAUUACCACUUUCUGAACACAUAUUCAACUUGUUUAGAAGGCACUUGAACCCCUUGGCAGCUUCAAUUCCAACUAUGAUGAAAAAUCCAACAAGAAAUAAGCCUGGGAAACCAUAUUUGCAAAACAAACCCACUCAGUAAUGCUAAAUGCUAAUCAUUCUACAAUCUUAUUUCCAUCAUGUUAAAUGAGAGAAUGUCAUUUAAUUCUGCUGAAGUUUACAAAAUUGUUUAGAGAUGAUUCACUCAUUUUUUUUUCUUAAAUCUUUACCCUAUUUUAUGUGACAUCCUAGACAAAAGAAAGUUCUAUAUAUGUUUAUUCUUAUGUAAUCCUAGUUCAGAUGGCCAUAAAUCCUGAAAUGUUCACACGCUAGUACAAUUCAGCAACCACGAACCAAAUCUUAACAACUGCUCUCAAAAAAUCCAAAAUUCCAACCAUACAAAAAGAAAGGCAAAAGAAAUAAAGGAUGAUCAAGGAGAGAGAAUGAAAUAUACACUAUUCAACCAACAACCAGACAGUAGCAACUGAGAAUAAGUUACAUGACUACAAAAGUAAAUGCCAAAUGCAACUGAGAUGCCAGUCUAGGGUAGUAUCAAAGCAAUUUGCUUAAAUGGCAUAGGUUUAGAUACACCAUCCACCCACCUCCAGCACAUGGAAAUAGAGCAUAUGCACUUGAAAAUUUUUAAUGAUUUCUUACAUAUGUGCAGUGACACAAUUUUAUUAAUUUGUUUGUUAUAGCCUUUAGUAUCAUUGACCACAACCGAAAUAGAAGGCCAUUUGCAUGUCCACACAUAAAAUCUCAAGCAAUAACGUCAAUUUGAGAAAAAUAUUCAAAAUCAGUCUCUAAAAAUUACUACAACUGUAUAUAUGAUCCAAAAGCAAUAACAUGAAAUUAGUGAUCCAAGUAAAUAUUAGAAUCAUCGAUCAACAAGGGGCUUAUUCAAAUCAACUAAAAAGUUCUGUGCCAUCAUCUUGGUAUUGAAUAUGGACAGAAGAUUUGGGUUGAAAUUCAGACAAGGAUUGAAGUUUGGGAGGAUUUGGUUUUGAAACUAAGAGAAACUAAGGCACUUCGAAAAAAAAUUAAGAAAAACAGAGAAUUGAAAAAGAGAGUGAAAGCAUACUUUCUCUUCUUCCUCCAAACCUCAAACCUUCUUCUUUCCACCUGUGGUGCGCCUCUUGUGCAAAGAAUUCCUAGAAAUACCUGAAACACAACAAACAAACGCAUUAGAUAUGGUAUUGCAAUUGAAUUUUAUGAAAGCAUAAAAAAAUUUGGCAGAUGCCGUGGAAGCUCCACUCGGAAGGGCUUCUUCUUCUUCUUCCUCUUUCCCAAAAGAUAAUUUGUUUCUUCUUCAAGAUCAAGUUGGUACAACUUCUUUGAAUCAAUUAUUAUAAAAUGAACAAUUUUAAGAGAAUUAUUACAAUGAUUUUACCGAUAAUGAUUUACAACAACAUUUAGAUCAUAAACAAAGUGAAUUAAUUGGUUAGCAAUUCAACAUCAUCUCAAAAUACAAGGAGAAGAAAAAUCUGGAAAAGACAGAACAGGGAAAGCAACGAUGUAGGGACUCACCAACGAACUACGGUCUACGGCGAUAACGAGGUCCCAAAACCAGAAGACGACGAGCGACGACGACCCGACGAGUUGUUUCUGUCGCCGACGACGAGGAUCCUAGGAAAGACCGCGACACGUGGAGACGCCGAUGAGUGUGACUGAGACGAGAUUCGAGUGAGACUGAAAGAGACUGUAUUGAGCUAGUGUGAGAAAGGAGAGAGAGUUUCAGUCUGAGAAUUGAGAGAGAGAGACGUUCUUUGAGAGAGAUGUAAGAAAACCCAAGAAAGAUGAAGAGCACUAGAACAGUUCUUUUGAAUUUUUUUUAUUUUUUAGAUAUGUUCUUUUUUUUUUGUAUGAAUAAACAUCAGAAAUUAGAGUUUAUAGAGGAGUAUAAACAUGAUUGACUGUACAUGAAUAAUCAAUCUGAUGUUUUAUUUUUAAAUUAUUUAAAUUUAUAAAUAUAAGUUAGCUCAAUUUUAAAAUUUGAUUAAUUUAAAGAGAUAGAUUUUGUCCAACAUAAAGAAAAUGAUAUUUAGGUCUUUUUAUAAAAUUAAAUAAAAAAAUAUUGCGCGCGGUCAGGUUGCAGCAAUAUUGGCGUGGGAUGCAUGGGCGUCGACAGGCUAUCGGGGGUACAACGGCGCGGGAUGAGAUUGCGACGGCGUGCACGGGCAGCGGCUGAAUGGUGUUAGGAAAAACGGCAGUAUUUGAUGCAUCAGAAUGGCCGUCUCUGAUACCGACAACGAGUUUUGGGAGUGGACCGGAAAUUGACGACGACAAAUUUUGAGCAUAGACAAGAAAUUGGGAGAUUAUGGUAAAAUUGGAAGUAACCGUAUGUAGUGCGAAUGUGUGUAAUUAUUAAUUCUAAUUUUCUAAAUUUUAAAAUUUGUAAUUAAAUAAUUAAUCCUAAAUUAUAGCCAUUUUCUUCUCUGUCGUCAUAGGGUUAAAAUUUAGAGUUUAUAUAUAUAUAUAUAGGGAUAUUUUAAUUAGUCUUUAUAAUAGGAAUAUUGUAGUUAUUUUUUAUAAAAAAAAAAUCUUAAUUUAGACCAAUUCAAAAUAUAAACUAUCAAUUUUUUGGCCAUAUCAAUUUAUUUAAUAUAAUUUUGAUAAAAAUAACAUAGUUUCAUGACUUCAUCAAUUAUAUAUAUUAAAUUUUAAUUAUUUAAAAAUAUUCGUUUUAAGCGUAUUUGACUACUUGAGUGACUUUCGCAACAAAUAUAUUUUAUCCUUUUAUUUAAAAUUCCUUUUUGCAUGGAGCAAGAAGCCCCUAUCCUCAUGUGCAGGCAUUUGAUUUCACUGAGGGACCUCACAGCCUUUAACUAUCCAGUGCUUUCCUAGCUUUUUGCUGCCGCAGCAUCACCGAUCUCGUUAGAUCGGAGAGAGUGAUGGCGGAAUUGGAUGUUGCUGAGUCAAAAAAACGACAAACGGAGCAGGUUGAAAUGGCAAAGGAAGCGUGCAUUUGCCUUGUGUCGUAUGAAAAGUUGUUUGUGAUCAAACUAAGCAAUUUAAAGAAACAAGAAGUUGAUGUCAAAGAUUGGAAUUGUUUGCCUCCACCACCGUUCGAUUUCGAUUUGGAACUUCCAGAGCGUGAAUUGUGUCCUUUCGAGUUCGACUCCAAGAUCUAUAUGGCAGUGUGCUGGGCGCCGGGUAGACUUCGGCGUGCGAGGGUCUCCUGGCCAAUCUACGAAUUCAAAUUUGGGGAGCGCAGAAUUGAGCGUGCAGAAUCACUGGAUGAUGCACCGCUCCCUUUUCACGAUGCAUUCAUCACAAACACGCCAGGCUCAGGCGAUGUUUACUUCUAUAAUAUGGAAUCACGGGUCAAAGAUUCAUCUAGCUCUUACGUCCUUUGUUCUGGAUCUAGAGUUUGGAAACCGUUAAUCGCUCCUCCUACUGUCAGCGACUCAUAUUUCCGAUAUAGCAUGUUCGUCCUCAACAACAACCUCUUUUUUUCAUCGAGUAGAAGAGACAUCUGUUUGGCCCGCUUCGACCCCAUAAAAGAAAAUUGGACGACUAAACCCGCCUCUGUUAACAAUCUUUCGAACUUCAUAAAGGAUAGGCUCAUUCCCGGUGAUAACUACGGUCUUAUUACUUAUCACCCACACAUUUCUGUGUCUCUUCCGGGUCUUGGCAGCAGCAACUACACCGUUUGCCUUACAAAUGAAUAUGUGGGGGAACCUCCUCCUAAGGGACCUUUAAACAAGGUCUUUGCCAUUCUCGUUAACCACCAGAAUGGCCGUGUCGCAUUAUAUCAAUACCUUGAUGUAUGUUUUGAGGGUAUUCAACCCAGGAUGGGAGAAUCGGCCAGAUUCAAUUUUGUUGACCUUGGCAACGGGAAGCUGUGUGCAAUACUCUCUGGGGAUCUAGUUUAUUCCAAAUCUAAUUCACAUGCGCUCUGCUUCUCAGUUUUCACACUGUCCGUGGACUUUGCAGCAUUGCAACUUGACAGUGGGGCUCCUCCCAUGGAGCGAGAUUUCUUACAAGUGACUGUCCAUAGGAAGAGUGUCUUCACCAUGGAGGACUGUGGGCUUACUAAUUGUAUGCGCCAUGCGUUUGUUUGGCCACCUACUAAGGGAGGAAGAUUUCAGCACAGGACAACUAUGUCAUAGUAACAUUUCUUGUUAUUUCUUGUGGCUUGUUAUUAUCCUUAGUCGUUUUCAAUAGGAUUACGAAUGAACAAUGAAUUAAAUAUUAAUGUCUUUCAGUAAUAUAAUCUUGGUUGAAUUGUGUCUAUAUUCUCUUUUGCUCAGCAUACAAAAUUACCUGUGCUUUUUGAGAUAUUUACAUUAUUGCUGCUGAGCAUAUUAAAUGAUCAACUCACUGCUUUCUAUUUCAAAAUACAUGAUGCAUUUUAAAUAAUUAAUUGAACUAAUAGUCCACACGUAUUAUGUCAAAAGAAACAUUUUGAAGUUUCACUUAAAAUUAGAAUGACUCUUGUUUGAAAAAUUUAGUUAAAAAAUUUGAUUUGAGUCAUUUAUAAUAUUGUCAAUUGAUUACAUUAUUGAUUAGAUUAAGAAAAUAAGAAAAUAAAAAGAAUGUCCAAGUUACAAAAAUUCAAAUCAAGUUUCUAAAUGAUUGAAGGGAAAUAAUGAUGUUAUUUUUAGUUUUUUUUUUAAUGUCAUUCCUGACAUGAUUUUUUUAUUUAUAUGUUUGUAACUUUGUAUAAAUUUAAGGGAAAAAGUAACAUUAUCAGAAUAGGUCAUGUUCCUAAACAAAAUAAGCUAAUGUGGUGGUCAGUUUUAAUGGAAGUGCUACAGAGGAGUUCUAUGAGUCUAUUCUUUCAAAGAUGAUCAUUUCUACAAAAUAUAAUGAUACAUGCAUAUGGAUGUAAAGAAAUUUAAAAAACAUAGGGAAGCAAAAAGUUAAGAACAAGAAGUGGAAACCUAAAAUCUAAGGGUGACUUUAUCAACAUUUUCUUCCAAUAUAUAUUUCACAUAACCAAACCAUUAUCUCCAGCAUAAGCAACAUAGUUUAGUGUCCUCAGUUCUACUCAAAAUCUAUUAUUUGUUGUACAAUGGAUUUCGGCUUCAAAAGGCAUUUGUGUCAUCAUAGGUGAAUUCCCCAUGUAAGCACAUGUGGUUAAAUACUACGGGAAAACUUCUGCAUGCAGACAUCAACAUUUAGGCUCCGAUUCACUUGCCAAAAUCCAUUUUGCAUAUCUCGCAAGUCAUGACUGACAGGUCCGUCUCAGGUCAGGCUGAUGUUCCGACCUAUCCACUUUAUCACAUCUUCUGACAAACUGGUCAAGAGUUCUCUGCCUUGAAGGGCUAUGCUCAAUAGUAGUAUGCUUUGCAGGGCUACUCAAUGGCUGAUUAUUU